rnacentral:lncRNA from 1 species
UCAUCUUUUUCGUAAGAGGGUUGAUUCAUGAUUCAUUUACGCCCCGACCAUCUGAUUAUACGCUUCGGUAGCUGUUGCUAGGAAUGUACACAAUUUCUUACCGCCUGUUUAUCUGUAUUUUGUAUAGGUAAAAGCAGCUGAGUAGCAAGUGAAGCAUACAUUUUCUUCUUUCUUUCUUUUUUGCGAGAUUCUUCUUCUUUCUUUUCUUAAUGUAAAACAAGAUAGAAUAAUACAAAUAUCAGUCCAUUCAAUUAUUGUAUUGAGCAGUUUUUUUUUUCCUAUCCAUUGUUUCUUUCCUGCUCUCUUCAGUUGAGUUAAAACAGUAACUUCAUCUCCUUCUCUAUCACAGAACCAUCCCUGGUUAGCAUAUUCUUUUCCUGUAACUUUCACCAAGGUUGUGGUUGAAAGUUUGGCGUUUUGAGAAUAUUGUUCUUUGUAGGUGUGAAGUGCUAGUAUUUCAGUACACGUGGUGCUCUACAGGUAGACGUGGUGCCUGUGCAUUUACCAACCCUGUAUAUCACAGGCACUGGCAGAAUUUGGUGGUGAAAACCGUCUCCUCUUUACCUCAUUUUUGGAUGGCAGAGUUGACGGUAAAAAAACGAAGUACAGAUCUAGCGUAUGUUAUGUGGAAGAAUUGACUUUGCAUAAGAGCUUCUAUCUUGACACAUAAGUUCAUUUCCCAAGCUCAUUGAAUAACUGAAAUUUGAAUGAGGACCGAGUGUUGCCAAAUUUGAAGACAAAGUGAUCGAUUUAUUAUCAUAGUAAUUGCUCAUCCAUUCAUGGUCAGACACACACAGGCAGAAGCCUUUCAUUUAUACUCCCUCCGUUCCUAAAUACUUGUCUUUCUAGACAUUUCAAAUGAAUAUCACAUACGGAUGUAUGUAGACAUAUUUUAGAGUUUAGAUUCACUCAUUUUACUCCGUAUGUAGUCACUUGUUGAAAUGCCUAGAAAGACAAGUAUUUAGGAACGGAGGGAGUACUACGGUGUGUCGGUGUCGCAUCAGAAAUGGCAGAUAGCCAAGCAAAUCGAUCAUCUUCUCUUACAAUUAGCACAUGAACCCUAGGUCUCUCACACCAUCUGAAACUACAGACAACAGACAUACCACCUUGUACACUUGCUUUUGUUAAUCAGAACCAGCGGCUGGCUACUGCCGUGCCUGGUUCUUGAGGUGCUGGAACAUCUUCUGUUUUAUCCACUGCCUGUCAUACGGCAAAAAAGCUUGGAGUUGAUGAUCAUACCUGCAGGGGCAGGCCACAUCAUGGUUAGUCGUUUUGCUUUUGUGAUUCAAUGCUUUGAAAGUUUAACGUGAAGUUGUACUCACACUAGCGCGCUGAUGUCCGCUAGGCCAUCGAUGAAAUUGUAGAGGUCGGUGAUGUCAUAAGUGAAGUUCCUGGCCAUCGGGUUGAUAUCCAUGAUUUUCUUUUCAUAACGGGCACAGAUACCUGUCGUUUACAAAAGAGCCCUGUUAACCAUAUUAAGAUCUACAAAGACAGUGGCUGAAGAAAUGAACAAAUACGCGGGACUUGCUUCAAUCAAAGAAAAGCAUCUGGUUGUCCAUAUGGAGAUCUACAAUGACGGUAGCUAAAGAAAUGAACGUAAAUAAGUGCAGUUGCAGUGCAGAUACGGUUUUGCUGUACCUACUGCAUUCCAGGAACCCACCAGUUUGUGUGGUGCUUAGUUCAUGGGUGAUCCGGGGAGGAAUCCUAGCUGGAGGUAAUGAUGAUCUUUUUGAAGUAGGUAACAUUUCAAAGCGGAGAUAUUUCCUUAGCAUGUAACUAUUCCAAAGGGACCUGAGGCCGCGCUUGGUAUUGGUGUAAUUUAAUACGGAAGUACUAAAUUUAUAAGUGUAUCUUACCGGACACAAGUGUUUUCCGGCUGGAAACAAAACCGGUGGGAGCAGACGUGUAUUUUUUACAGGUGUAUUUAAAAGAAAAACGGUAAUCCAAACAGGGCCUGAAGAAAAUGGGAGCUAAUUGUGGUGUAUGGUCCUGCUGAUCAGUUUGUAGAGGGGCUUGAAAAUAAAUCAGAGGUUCCAAUGUGCUCAUUGUUAUUGGGGUGAGGAGGGGGUUCAAUCUUAUUAGGGGGGCGCAUGAAAAAACUCGGAUAAUAUCAAUCAGAUAUUGAUUGAUCUGUUUAACUCUUCUAUUGCUAAUUUGAAUCUGAUAGUUAUCUAGGGGAGAAGCUAGAUUUACUUGGACUAACAAGCAAUUAGAUUAUGUUAGAUGUGUGUUGAAUAGAGUGCUGAUAUCUUGUGAUUAGGAGCCAUGUUUACCCUUUGUAACUUGCAAGCUGUGACCAGAAUUGGUUCCCUUUACCUCUAUCCUCUGAGUUAGAUGGUCACAAAAUGUUCUUUGAAAAACAAUGGCUACCAGAGGAGGGAUUUAAAGAUCGAGUUAUUUAUAAAUGGGGAGAAUUCCUAAAUCUGGCAACAUAGGAGGUGUAAUGCGUUGGGUGACUGGAACUUCUGUUCUAUUGAGCUUAGAAAAGUUCUGACGGAUUGGAAGCUAAUUUUGGGAGAGAAGUAAGAGUUAGGAAAGAUAGUGUUCUUGAUAGUUCUGGGCACUGCUGGGGAAUGGCAGCUUGCAACAGGAGUUGAUCGGUAUUUAUAAAGCAGAAGAAGCUUAUUGGCAGCAGAGGGGGAGAGGGAAAUGGAUUGUUCAACUCAGGGUGACUGUAAGACAGCUUACUUUCAUGCGGUGGCUAACGAAAGGAGAAGAAAGUGUUCUAUCUUUUCUUUAAUUCAUUGAUGGGGAAAAGGUGAUUAGUGCUAAACAGGAGCUCUCUGAGCAUAUCUGACUUCUACAAGAGACAGUUUGGGGCUGAACCUAGAGGCAGCAUGUCAUUGGCUGCCGAUGCAUGGGGAGAAAAUAUGAGAGUGGCUGAGUUUUUACGUUGGCUCGCCAAGCCUAUCACAACCCUCCUCCUUUACGGGGCUUGGGACCGGCUAUGUUGAGACAACAUAGGCGGACUCACACUUUCCCAAAAUGAUGAUGAUGUCCAGAAGGCGAUUAAAGAGAAGAAAGAUUGUUUCAGACACCUAUACCUGAAUAGGAGUGUAGACAACAUAGAGAAGUACAAAGAUGGUGAAGGAGGCCGCAAAGCGAGCUGUCAGUGAAGCACGGGAGUCGGGCAUAUGAGGACCUCUACCAACAGUUAGGCACGAAGGAAGGCGAAAGGGACGUCUAUAAGAUGGCCAAGAUCCGAGAGAGGAAAACGAGCGAUAUUGGCCAAGUCAAAUGCAUCAAGGACGGAGCAGACCAACUCCUGGUGAAGGACGAGGAGAUUAAGCAUAGAUGGCGGGAGUACUUCGACAAGUUGUUCAAUGGGGAGAAUGAGAGUUCUACCAUUGAACUGGAUAACUCCUUUGAUGAGACCAGUAUGCGUUUUGUGUGGCAAAUCCAGGAGUCUGAGGUCAAAGAGGCUUUAAAAAGGAUGAAAGGAGGCAAGGCGAUGGGCCCUAAUUGUAUCCCCAUUGAGGUGUGGAAAGGCCUCGGGGGCAUAGCGAUAGUAUGGCUAACCAAGCUUUUCAACCUCAUUUUUCGGGCAAACAAGAUGCCAGAAGAAUGGAGACGGGGUAUAUUAGUACCAAUCUUCAAGAACAAGGGGGGUGUUCGGAGUUGUACUAAUUACCGUGGAAUUAAGCUGAUGAGCCAUACAAUGAAGCUAUGGGAGAGAGUCAUUGAGCACCGCUUAAGAAGAAUGACAAGAGAGACCAACAAUCAGUUUGGUUUCAUGCCUGGGAGGUCAACCAUGGAAGCCACUUUCUUGGUACGACAACUUAUGGAGAGAUAUAGGGAGCAAAAGAAGGACUAGCAUAUGGUGUUCAUUGACUUGGAGAAGGCCUAUGAUAAGAUACCACAGAAUGUCAUGUGGUGGGCCUUGGAGAAACACAAAGUCCCAGCAAAGUACAUUACCCUCAUCAAGGACAUGUACGAUAAUGUUGUGACAAGUGUUCGAACAAGUGAUGGACCGCAUCAGGGGUCAGCUUUGAGCCCUUAUCUUUUUGCCUUGGUGAUGGAUGAGGUCACAAGGGAUAUAGAAGGAGAUAUCCCAUGGUGUAUGCUCUUUGCGGAUGAUGUGGUGCUAGUUGACGAUAGUCGGACGGGGGUAAAUAGGAAGUUAGAGUUAUGGAGACAAACCUUGGAAUUAGAAGGGUUUAGGCUUAGUAGAACUAAAACCGAGAACAUGAUGUGCGGUUCCAGUACUACUAGGUGUGAGGAGGAGGAGGUUAGCCUUGAUGGGCAGAUGGUGCCUCAGAAGGACGCCUUUCGAUAUUUAGGGUCAAUGCUGCAGGAGGAUGGGAGUAAUUGAUGAAGAUGUGAACCAUGGAAUCAAAGCCAGAUGGAUGAAGUGGCGCCAAGCUUCUGGCAUUCUCUGUGACAAGAGUGCCGCAAAGGCUAAAAGGCAAGUUCUGCAGGACGGUGGUUCGACCCGCAAUGUUGUAUGGCGCUGAGUGUUGGCCGAAUAAAAGGCGACAUGUUCAACAAUUAGGUGUGGCAGAGAUGCGUAUGUUGAGAUGGAUGUGUGGCCACACGAGGAAGGAUCAUGUCCGGAAGGAUGAUAUACGAGAUAGAGUUGGGGUAGCACCAAUUGAAGAGAAGCUUGUCCAACAUCGUCUGAGAUGGUUUGGGCAUGUCUGAGAUGGUUUGGGCAUAUUCAGCACAGGCCACCAGAAGCUCCAGUGCAUAGCGGACGGCUAAAGCGUGCGGAGAAUGUCAAGAGAGGUCGGGGUAGACCGAAUUUGACAUGGAAGGAAUCCGUUAAGAGAGACCUGAAGGAUUGGAGUAUCACCAAAGAACUAGCUAUGGACAGGGGUGCGUGGAGGCUUGCUAUCCAUGUGCCAGAGCCAUGAGUUGGUCGCAAGAUCUUAUGGGUUUCACCUCUAGCCUACCCCAACUUAUUUCCAAACAUGGGAACUACAAUCAUGUGAGAAAUGGGGAGAGAACUUCCUUUUGGAAUGAUCUGUGGUUAGAAAAUGACCCCUACUGCAAACAUUUUCCAGCUCUUUUCAGCAAAUGAUGUGACCCAGAUCUCAAGGUAUCUAAAGCUCAAGCCUCAGGGGAAUAGUUUGCCCCCUUUAGGACUAACUUGGAUGAGGUGAACUCAAAUCUAUGGCUUACUUUGUUAGCUGAGAUUGCUGGUACUGAUUUCAGAGGAGAGGAUGAGGUUAGCUGGCGUCUUACACAAAAAGGAGUUUUGGGGAGUUAAACUUCCUAUGAAAAGGGGUACAUUAAUUUGCACAAAAUUAUUCAACUAGUUCUAUGCACAAAAGCUUGUCCUGCAGGAAAAGGGGUACAUUAAUUUCAAAAGGAGUUUUGGGGAAGUUAAAACUUCCUACGAAAAUCUCAUGCGGAAACUCUUUGUUGGAUAAACUUCCUUCAAGGAUCCAAUUGCAAAAAAGGAGAUGCCCAGGAAAUGGGAUGUGCGCGCUUUUGGAGCACCUGCGGACGCAGACCACAUGUUUUUACAGUGCAUUACUGCGGGUUUGUCUGGAGUUGUUUGAAAGAGAUGUUUAACUGGUGGUGGCCUAGUAAUAGAGGAGAGCUUAUUAGCUUCACUGAGGGGGAGGGGAUAGUUUUAGGAUUAUCUGGAUCGUUCUUCCUGUCCAAUUUUGGGCGCUCUGGAAAAUGAGAAAUAAGAUUAUCUUUGAGAAGAAGUCUACUAUUCAUCCUUCUGACUACUUGUUUGUUUCGAUAAUUCACCUGCAGAAGUGGAUGCCUCUGUGGAAGGGGAGGACACAGGAGGAGAUCAAGAAGACAGGGUUGUGUAUUCAGGCACAGAUUACCAAGCUGAAGCAGGAAUCGACACCUCACCAGGACCCAAGCGGCAUGAUAGAUGUGAUCUGAAGUGGUUUUUGUUUCCUGAUGUGUUGGUUCUUGGGUUUUCAGGCCCUGUUCUAGUGCUUCUGCUAGUGUGUUUGUCUCUGUAAGCUGGUAACCCCAGCCCUUUACCUUUCUGUUGGAUUGUAAGAUUUUGAACCUUUGGUCUUCUAUAGACCGGGCAUCAUAAUUGAGAUGUCUUUUGUCUAAAAAAAACUGCCAUCCAGGUCACUGCAUGCACGAAUAGCCGAAUAGGUACACAACCCCACAAUUAUCUAAAAGGACCAGCAAAAUCCUGUGAUUUGCUGUUAUGUGACUCCCAAACCAUGUGAUAAUUUACAUACAUCAGUGGUCAUUUCAACUGUUGUUGAACAUUUUGAACACUGAGAUCUUGUCUCAUUAAACAUUUAAGCAUACUAAUGAUCUGUCUCGCCUAAACAUUACACAGAUAUCACUUCAGUUUUCUGAAACAUUUGGCACAGUGCACACUGUAAGAAGCCAACCACGAAGGUUACUGGUACCAAAAAAUUAAGACAGUAAACAACAUUAGAAAUUGAAUUCCUGAACGUUCAGUCCAAGUUCUACUAAACGAUGAUGGCUGAUGACUACUUCUAUAGAGUUGAAGCAAGGAAUAGAUGAACUAAUGAGACAUAUGCAAAACAGUAGCAUAUCUUUAGAAUCCCAUGAUAACCUCAUAGUCAACAACACAUGCACAAUCAGACAGCAAAGUAAAAUUUAUUCAUAUAACUGCAUUAAUAAUUCAAGAGCUGAGCAUGAGAGAAAACACUGACCAUCCAGUGCUUGGUUGAGUGAACUGAAGUCCAUAAAAGUUCUGGACGCUUUGUUUGGAGAUGGUUGCACGAGAACAAUGGUGUGCCUUCCAGCCUGUGAUAAUGUCACAAAUAAGAUCUUUUAUUUUCUAGUAUAAAGGGAGAUUGUAUUGACUCAAAAUGCCGCAUCAAGGCAAUAAAAGCGGAAAGAGUUGACAGCUGGCCUCUGCAUAGCUAAGUGCACACAGCCCAUAAGUAAGAUCUGGGGUGUGCUAAACUUUGCAUAAAGAAAUGCUGGUAAGCAAGUUGGUUUUGAAACGGCAUAAGCAUAAUUAUUGUCCAGGCACCCAGAACACCUGUGAACCAAUGUACUUCAACAAAGGGUUUACAGACCAAAUAUCAUGGCAGGUACCACUUUAUUGUUUAUUUUCCACCAGUUCUCAGAUAGAAAUUAUUUCCAGUUGAAAGAAAGAGUGAGCCCUAAAGAGCACUGUUAAUUGCUUCCAAGUACUCCCUCCGUCCCAAAUUCUUGUCUUAGAUUUGUCUAGAUACGGAUGUAUCUAGUGACAUUUUAGUGUUAUAUACAUCCGUAUCUAGACAAAUCCAAGACAAGAAUUUUGGGACGGAGGGAGUAACAUAUAAGCGCCUUUGGGCCUUGCGACCAGCAAAGCCACCCAGAGUCUUCCUAAUCGAAUUGAACAAAAUUUGCCAAGCGCCACAGCGAGCACACUCAGAUAGUCAGGUUCAACCAGGUCACAGGACAUCAGAACACUAGAUAACCAUCCAGCAAGGUAUCAUACACUCCAAACAUAGAUGAGAUGAAUCGAAGUUCCUACGAAAGCAAUCAAGCCGCGAUUGGCAUCUCACAUGCAAAUCCAAGCUACUCAGAGCAUAUAUACAGAAGACACUUCGGGAUCGAUGCGCCCUAAACAGGGGUCUACAGACUGAACACCAUGCACAAGUGACAUGUCCCCCAAAGGCAGUUUCACUUCCAGGAUCAAUCAAUUUCACAUCAAGAUUUGCAGCGACAUUGGAAAGAGUAAGCACCAUCGAUUGCUUCUAAAAAAUGAGAGAAACGAGCCAUUGGACUCUGCCCAAUGGCAAAACCACCACGGGUCCUUCGAGCCAGGGAAAUUAGUUAACCCCGCCAAAGGCAGGAGGAAAUGGGGAACAAAAUUCCCCACAACAGCCAGCGAGCCGCGACGCGAGGCAAAGCAUCAACAGAGGAAGCGGGAAUAAUGUAGCUGUAGGGUUAGAUCGCCGUACCAUACUCUCGGUGCGGAAGCAGAAGCACGGGUCCCCCGCCGCACCCCCGCGCCGGGCCGACGAACCCUAGAGAGACCAGCAGCCGCGCCUUUCCUGUGGGAAACGAGAGAAAGCGAACUGCGUGGGUGGAGCCGAGAAGAAAUACUGCUCGCCGGUAGGGGGAAAGUGAAGAGGAGACCAGAAAAAAAAUUGUUACCGGAAUGGCGGGUGAAGGCGGAGGCGGAGCCGGUGGAUGGUGUGGUGUGGGCGAGCCUGCGAGGAGGAAGGCUUGCCAAGAAAAAGUUGCAGUGAAGAGAAGCCCGACCCUGAGAGUGAGAGAUCCUUCCGAACGAAAAUGGAAUCCUUUCGGAACACUAGACUAGGGAAAGCCCGAUCGAAAUAAGUCCUUCCAAAAUACCCCAGAAAUUGUUUUAAAAAAUACCCCAGGAGGAGGAGAUCCAUUUUUACCAGGUACUACCUCCAUAUCCAUAUCAAAAUAUAAGCCUGAAAUCUUAAACGCGCAGCUGCGCUCGUUCGUCAUGGCGGGCGCACGCGCUACACGAUAAGAAAUUCUAUGUUCCUGUCUCCCGCCUCUUUCUCGCACGUGGUUCCAAUACACAGCCCACAGAAAGGAACUAACGCACAGAAAAAGGAGCUGAUCCACCGUGUCUCAGUGCGCCCAUUCAUGUCGUGAUUUCCCAACAAGAUCCCACGUCGCAUGCAUUUAAUUUGCGUUUUCAAAAUUUCAAAAAGCUAUAACUUUUGAACCGAUCAUCGAAACUCAAAUUUGUUUUCACGGCUAGGUUUCACUAACUUUUUUUAUGAGCAACUUCGGAUGAAACGGAAGCAACUUCAGUGCUAUAGGAAAGCAACUUACUACCAGUCUGCGUAGGAUGACUGUGUAUCAUCGAAAAUUCCUUUGAAGUUAGCUAGCUUCACCUCUAAGUUACCUACCAUAACUAGUUUAGUUUUGCCUCUAAGUCGAUAGUAUUGUAGGCAACUUAGUUUUCGAGCUAGGCUAAUAUUUAUCAGCUGCCUGCCAUGACUAGCGAAUAGUUUAACAUCAUCCUUAGUUGCAUAAAAUACUUUUUGGUAUGCUAAGCAACUUAGUUUCAUAGAUAUGCAACUUAGUAACACUUAUAGACAACUUUUCAAUGUAUUGUAGGCAACUGAAAAAGUAAUGGCAGGCAACUAAGCACCACUGUUAGGCAACUUCAGAGUGUUUGUAGGCAACUUAGGAAAACAAUAAUAAGCAAGGGCACAAUAUUUACGUGUCAUGACUAACGAGUAGCUUGACAUUAUCCUAAGUUGCCCAUAGAUGGAAAGAUUCAUCUACUAUAGUAUGUUGAUCUUUCAUAAACUCGUCUGACCAACCAUAUGAACCCAACGAUGACAUAACAUGCAUUAAUUUCAGUACAAGAAAAUUUCAAAAUAUAACUUUCAAACUGCGUGUUGGAAUUAUGACCCGUUUUCAUCAUUGGGUUCCUCGUGAUGAACUCUUCAAAACUAGAUCCCAUAUGAAUAUGUUGAUGCUUUUUUAAAGCAACUUUGAUGCUAGAUGAGGCAACUCUAGUGCUAAACUGGAGCAACUUUAAUGCUAGAUGAAGUGCAUUGUGUGUGUUAGUGAUUCACCUACUAGCCUACGAAUAGUUGUGUGCAAUAGUCUAAUGGAUGGUUAUCAUGGUUGUUGAGUUGCAUACAUCAAAAACUAAGUUGUCGAUAGUUUAGUUGCCUACGAUACUGUGAAAGUUGCUUACCGUAGAGUGGAAAGUUGUCUAACACGGCUUCUAAGUUGCCUGCCUCAGAAACCAGAUUGCCUAUAUUGCUACGAAGUUGCCUACACACCCCAAUUGCCUAAAAUAGUAUGAAAGUUGUCCAUCAAGGGACCUAACUUGCCUACAAUGCUGAAAAGUUUUUGUGGGAUAUAAGUUGCCUAUCAUGAUUUCAAAUUUCGAAACUAUGUGAAGAUGGAUGGUGUGAUAGCAUUAUUCUUUCCUUUUCUGGGGGAGUCUAUCGGCCAACGCUACCGAGCACGUGGGUGUUAGCUAGCAAUGUCAUGGGUGUUGACUGGUUGCAUAAGUAGAGACAGAUGAUAAGUUGCAUAGGGGGUGAUGAGAAGUUUCAUAGGGGCGGAUCAGACAGUUGCCCACAAGCCUACACAAGUUGUUCAUAAUUUUUGCAUGAGUUGCUCGUGAAAAUUAUUGAAAUCUCCAGAUAUAAUGAUGGAAAACACACAUGAGUUGCUUGUUGAAUGCACUGAAGUUGCACAAAAACACCCCAAAAGUAGCUAACUUUUUUGUGUGAUACUCGGGUUUCAUAACGAUCUUAAAAUGCCAGUCAUCUGAGCAUCACCGAUAGGUAACUUCAUAGUGUUUUAGGCAACUUAGGAAAAACACAAUGAUAAGCAGAUAAUUGUAGGCAACUAAUUUGCCAAGUUAGACAAUUAAGCAGUAAUGAUAUGUAACUAAUUAUCAAUAGCAGGUAACUGGACGUCAAUGGUAGGUCAAUUUUAUAGUAUUGUAGGCAAGUGGGCAUCACUGAUAGGCAACUGAAUAUCCAUGGUAGGCAACUGAGCAACCAUGGUAGGCCAGUUGUGAUAAUUUUAGCAUUUUUACACAAACAAACCUAAUAAACAGUCCUCUAGGCAAAAAAAUGAAGUUGCUUUCCUGUAGCACUAAAGUUGCCUCUAUCGUACCCGAAAUUGCCUCAAAAAAAAGUUCGACGAAACCUAUCUAUAUGAGAUCUAGUUUUGAAGAAAUCGUCGUGAGAAAUCCAGCUGUGAAAGCGAAAUUAGAUUUCGAUGCUUAAAUCAAAAGUUAUAGCUUUUUAAACUUUUUGGACCUCCAAAUAAAUGCAUGUGAGACAAGAUUCCUUUUUUGGUGGGCUACGUCAGGCGCACCAGUAGGUCUUUCCAUAUUUGAAAGAGCGCUCGAUCCCACCAAAGGGCGCUCGCGCGCCUGCUAGCCACGUCCAAAUAUAAGACUUUUUUAGGAAAAUUUAAUAAAAAAACGUCUUGUGUAUUUUGGUAUGGAGGUAGUACUACUUUCGUACCAGAUUGUUACAUUUGCGUUAUUUUUGCCACAAGGGAUUCAAAACUUCAUGUGUAACGUUCAAUUCGUCUUUAUCAAAAACAACAAAAAAAACAUUUCGUGUGCACUUGGCAAGCAAACAGGUUUAAUUUACGUCUGGUUGAUGUUUUUGGCUACUGGAAAUGGAAUACAAACAGAGAAACAUGAAGCAAACUAACCUUACAAUUUCUUCGAAGGGCAUUCAAAAAUCUAACGAUCUAUUCACACACACAUCGAACUUUCAAAUAGAUUCAAAACCUCAUCGAAGGGCAUUCAAAAAUCUAUUCGAAGAGCAUCUAAUGAUCAAAGCAACACGAAAAAAAAAUCAAACGAUCAGAACCAAGAACUGAGGCUGACAGUAAUAAGCCAAAAAUAAUCUUAGAUUCAGUUUUCGACUCCUACAAUGCUGACACGAUAUAUUGUAACCGACAGAAUACUCCAAAACCACAGUACAUUGUUACAAAUUGUGUAAGAACUGAAAAGAAAUAAUAACAUUGGAGGAGACACAAAAACAUCCCAUUUUGAAAACAAAAAAGCCUUGUUCAUUCCCAGGCUCCAGCGAGAGUUAGGCCGCCGUCGCCGAGAGACCAAAAUCCAUGGCUUCUUCCUUUCCUCGAAACAAUAAUCAACACUCAUGUGACCUCGCAAAAAUAUACAGCUCAAAACUGGCUGUUGCUCACAUCCCAGUUCCUCUGCGGUGAAACACCUAAGCUAUAGAGAAUACACCAUACGCUGUUUUUCACUAGACACAGCACCUGAGAAGUUGAGCUGCCAAGAGCUGUUAUAUCGAGAGGCUGUUGCACGCGUCGACUACGGCAGCAUGUGAGCUCAAUAUGGCCUGGCCUGCUGGGUCUGCUCCUAGGGUUUUCGUCACGGAGGUGAAUAUUGCUUUGCGGAAGAAGGUAUCCUCCAUUGCCUUUAGAAUCCCCUCUGCGGCUUCAAAUCUCAGGCCACACGACAGAAUCAAACGAGCAACCACUUCACCAAAUUGCGUUGGAGCUUUAGGAAGGUCAAUACCAAUAUCUUCCAACAGCGACCCAUAUAACAAGCAACCAUUUUCCAGAUCUUCGGUCUUGAAAGUUUUCUUGGUGUACAGAUGCUCCAGAAGCUUAACAAGAGGGUCAACAAAACUGGCACCUUUAUCCAGAGCAAGAUUGAUAGCUUCUUUAACAAUCUCAGGGUGGUAAUCAGGACUCUGCAGCUCCUCAAUACAUUGUUGUGCUUCAUCCAAAAUACGAAUACCAAAAUACUCCUCAAGAAGAGAUGCUGUCUUCUUCUGAAGCCCUGCAGGGAUCACCUUGGCAGAACUGGCUGCUUUGUCAGGAAUAGGUACAGAAGCUGGAGUUGCACUUGAUGGUUUUGGUGAUGCUGUAGUUUGAGCUGGUAAAGGAGUGGGGCUAGCCGUAAGGCUGGAAGGGCGGGAUGGUGGACCACCGGUGCCCAAGAGUGCACUCUUGCCAAUCAGUGCUCCAGUGCCUUGAGGAAGAAGCCUGGGGUUGAUGGGUGAUGGCUUGUUAAUAGAUGGAACCUUAUUGAUCAACGGACCCUGGUUGCGAAGCGGAUCGCCUCUUGGCAUUGAUCUAGAACGCUGAACUUCCCAGUUAUCAUUAUCUAACCCAGGCAUCCCAGGCAUUUUUCUAGAUCCAGGCAUCCCAGGCAUCAUACCUCCUGUUCCUGGCCGGUUCACUGAAAAACCUCCAGGCGAAAGAGGCCCACCUGGUGCAUUACGGCCAUUCCUCAUGUUCGCUGUGGCCCCUGGACGUAAUCCAAGGUUCUUUUCAGCCUCUGUGUGGAUCUCGCUGAUUGUCUUCGCCUUGAUCUGAAAGUUACAAGCACAAAAAGUUUACAAUGGAUGGAUUCACAAAUCCAGCUGGACUCAGUUGCUAUAAGAACAGUCAAAGAAGUGGGAAAAACUGUUUGAAGGCUUAAGUGUCAUUCUAGUUUUGAGAACAGACUAUACGCACUUCAGUAUAAUCAGGUAAUGUGGUGGUUUUAACUGACUGACUAUAAGCAUGUGCAUGUUGAGUGUACAAAGCAAAGUGCACGUCUGACUGAUUUCCAAGAAAUGUGCGAUUCAAUAUGCUAAUCAUUUUUGGUUCGCCAGUACACACAAUGCAUGUGUGUUCUUCUAAUACGUUAACCUUUAGGAUCUUAGAACUAACAGUUUUCCUAUGAAGUUGAUAUGCCUCUUCUGGCAAUAUGCAACAAACUACUAAAAUGAGAUGAGCCAGUACCCAGCAACAGUCAUUAACUCGUUAUACAUAAAAAGGUAAUAUAGUUCAACAUAAUAGCAGCAAAACAGUAAUAUCGAUCCAUUAAAUCGCUAUGAGCAACUGCAUGUAGAGUAAACAGUCCAUGCACUUGGUUGAUUUUAUUUACCUCAGCACGUCGAGGCACCCAGUUGUUAGAACGGAGAUCAAUCAAAUCCCGGACCAUGAACUUGGAACGUGGGGUCAACUGAGGGUUCGCUACUAGCUCCCUAAUCUGGACGAAGUAGGUAUCAUUGAUUCGGCGAGACUUUGGGUUCUCAUCAAGCUGUUUACCAAUCGUAUUGAAGAACUGGCAAAUUGCUUCGACGUGUUCCUCGUCAGGGCAAGCCUUUUUAUCAGACCCCAGUAGCUCCUACAUAGUGCAUACAACAAACGGAUUAGGCACGUUUUCAUGGAAUAAUAAUUGUACCGUCGAUUUCCCAAGGUGUACCUUGACAAUGUGAUGAACUAUCUUCUCAGGAACCAUCUUUUGCUUGAGUAGCUCACCAAUUAGACGAAUAUUUCCAAGUGUUCUAAGUUUGAAGAUCCUUUCUUUGUCUCUUUUCUCCAUCUCUUGGUCAGGGCCAGUCAAACUUGCAAUCUCAACCCUCAGGCUGUCAGCACCUUCAAAAGCUUCCUGACAAUUGUUCAACAGCACACGUUUGAAGGUAAUCUCUUUACCGCCUGGUUCUUCAGAAGGGAAUGUCGGAAGGUUGUCAUUGAGUUCAGAACAAAGUUGGGCAUACAUCGGACAGAAUGUCGGUUCAAAAACAGCCUUCUCAAAUAUGAGAGAGAUAACAUCCUGAAUGAAAAGCAGAAGAUAGAUAAAUCACCAGGAACAGUCAAGAUGACAUGGGAUUAUAAUACACAGCUAGAAACAAAUCAAACCUUCAAAAUAUCAGCAGUGGUAAUUCCAGAAUCUAGCAGUUGGCCCUUGAGUAGAUCAAAUUUCUCUGGCGUCAGUUUGUUCAGUAUACUGCACAAGCAAGAGCAGAUAAACAGCAUGCAGACGACAAAUACAAACUAGGUAAUAUAUGCUUAGUAAACAAGGAAUGAAAAUUGCCACUUCAACAGGAACAAACAAGAAGGAAGAAAAACAUAAUAUUACCCUUUCACUGUUUUCAGGACUCUGUCUUUCUCCGAGAGAUUGCCUCUUCGGGCUGACCAAGGUACAUCAGCCUUGAUAAGAGCAGGAGGGGGGCCAACCUGACAUUUGGAGAACAAAAUAAGGAGGGAUAUACAUACGGCCAAACACUACCUUGGUAGGGAAAAAUAAGUAAUGAAAAAUAGAACGAAGCAUAACAACACAUGAAAUCAAUCACCGCCGAAUAUAUUACUCCCUCCGUCCCAAAAUAAGUGUCUCAACUUUGUACUAAGGUUGAGACACUUAUUUUGGGACGGAGGGAGUACUACUUGUUUACUUCUAUUCAAACACACAACUUCUUCAUGUAGUUUCCUAUAGGUUGCUAGAAAGGUAUGUUCAUAGUUGCAUAGAAUGAUAUUUAAUUAAGCAAAUUAUAUAAUAGCUCAACAGAACCAUGAUCAGACUACACUGUUGAGUUAUAUCAACAACCCCAACAUUGACUGUAUGACAGAUCAGUAGAACCAAGCAACUGUACUGAGAUUUGAUGAAUGGAGUCGUGUCACAUCAACAUUGAUUAGUCGAUGCAAAUCGGCAUUCAAUCCAAAAAGGAAGCAACCAGCAAACAAAACAGAUGAUUGGUAACACGAGCUUAUUCAAAAUUUACUACAAAAAGGUCAAAGGGAGCAAAAGAGUAAACGACUGAUGCUCAUCUUGAAGGUACCUGAGCUUUCUGGGAGCUCGAUUGAUCUUGCCUGUUAAACUGCUCUUGCUGCCUGCCACUUGCAUUGUACUGUUCUUUAACCUCACGAAUGUUGUCCCAAGACUUCUCUUCCUGAACUGCUGGUGCUGGAGGUUUCUCUGUGCGUGCACGCCAGUCACGGUUAUCUGUCUCAGUAAACCUGUUUUGAGCUUGUACUUGUGGCUGUGCCUGUGUCUGCAAUUGCACCUAAAUAACAAAAAGGACAACAAUAAGGGUUCCAUCUUCCACAUGUGCAAAUUAGCAUAGAACUGUAAUAAAUUUAGUGAUAUGGUAGCAUGAAGGUCAUUUAAUAAGAAUGCAAAACAUUAUAGUACAGAUUGUAAAAAUAGGUAAACUACAUACAAUGCACAUGGAAAUGAAGAACUCACAUUUGAAUCGUUGCGAACCCAGCUCUGAUCGUCACCAUUAAGCUCUGCUUCAAUUUCUUGCUGAAGCCUCAAGAUUUGCUCGGUUACAUCAGUAAUCUGCAAGGAUAUUAUAUCAGUGCAUGCAAAUAAUGCGUCUGCAUUGCCAGGAACAACUUAUUAGAUAUUUCAUUCAACAUAUGUCCCAUGGGGUGGUUAGGUUGUGCAGAUAGAACUAUAACACAUAUUUACUUAAGUUCGCUGGACCAAAGAUGAAAGCACAAUUAUGUCCACAAAGAAAGAUAGCCCAUCCCUGUCUAGAACUAUUUUUACCACAUCAUAGCUGGCAUGUUGCUUAUCAGUUUCCACCCUUAUAAAGGAGAAACAUCCUAAUAGGUUAGAAACUUGGCUUCCAAUUCAGCCUUUUUCCCGCAGGCUCAAAAUAAAACAUGACUAAUCAAACUGCUACUGCUCAGGGAUAAGUUAAGCACGCUACAGAGUAUUCUGCCUCCUCAAAUUGACAACGACAGGUGCACUUCCACCUCUGUUUCAUGGGAAUGCCUCUGGUAUUUACUUCCAUCCUUGAGCCAUACUCCCCCAGUUCAUGAUGCUACUUACAAAAUAGCACUGCCUUUCUAGAUAUAACUUUCACAGUGACAGACUAUUUCCAAUAUACCAGCACACACAUUCAAACAUACAAAACAGGAGUCUUCUACUGACAAUCUACACAAUUCAUUAUUGGUUAAGUUUGGCUGUAUACACGGCAACAGCAUACAUCAGUGAACUAAGUGGGUGGGCAGGUGGGUGGGGGAAGGUACUUCACAGCCUAUGCGCUAUUCAUGGCUUGGCCGAAAGUAUCCAGGGUUACUCAAACUUGAUAGUUCUUCUCCGAUACAUCUCAAACCUGUUGAACCACACACUACUGGCAUCUUUCAGCAAAAUCAGAUAACAAGGUAUACUAACCAUAGCAUAUUGAAGGAAGAUAUUUACAACAAAAAUUCUAUGAAGAAACCGACUUUGUGGGAAGUGUCAGAGAUGUACCUUGCGCAGGUCAAGAAGUUGAUCUCUUGAAUAACGAACACGCUCACGUGACUCAGAAUGCAAGUCACCAAUCUGCACCACAGUAGCAUCCAUGUCAGCAUAGCGAAAAUAGGUCUAUAAAUUAAAUCAGAAUAUACCCAAAAUCUGCCAAUGUAUAACAGCUUAUUUGGUCUGCCUAGGCAUGUAAGUAUUGUGUUGAGUAUCGAACAUGGUAUAUGCACAAGUAGCGAUAAACCCAGGAAUCUGCUUGAAGUCACUGGUUCUGCCAACAGCCCACCUCAUCCUACACAAAAGCUCAGCCAUGAGAGCUGAAACCCGGUCGAGAGCACAGCCCUCACACCGUCACCCCAGAAGUGAAUACUCUGAAAUCUAAAUUGUAGCCUACAGAAGCAGCCAACGUCAAUCCGCACGCAGCUAAACACAUCCUUCUUGCGCAUUAUCGCGGUCUAAAACCUCGUUAAGCAGCGUACUGACUAAUAAAUCCCGGCGUAUCGAUUAAUUAGACAGCGUCCUCAACCAAUAAACGCUCCAUCCAGACUAGCGCAGGGCCUAGAGCCAAGAUCCGAUAUUUCCCCUCUGGAUCUCCCCCCUCCCGCCCAUCCGCGAACCAAUCGAACCCGCAUCGAACAGUAACACCUCCCCCCAGAUCGGGCGGCGGGAGCUCUCACCCUGGAGACGCCGGAGGCGCCGCCGCCGUGCGGGCGGAGGAAGUCGCCGGAGCCGGAGGCGGCGACCGCGAAGGCGGGGGCGAAGAGGCGGCCGCCGCGGGGCCCGCCGCCGCCGCCGCCGGGGCGCAGGCUGAUCACUGGCUGGUCUGUCGUCAUGGCUGAGGGUGCCGAAUCCGACCAAGGCACCGCGACAGCUCGAUCGACAGGGAAUCGGCGGGCGGCCGAGGAGGAAAUCGCGGAGGAAUCCGAGCUUUUUUCUUCUUCUUUGGGGGGGAGGGGAGGGUUGGGUUCCGUCUGCGACCUCUCUCCUAGUGGAGGCGCGGUGACGGGAGGAGGUGGGGUUUUAUCCCGGGAGCAUUAGGGCUGUGGGGCAAAUCCUCGUUGUUUCUGCUGCCACCGCGGGGCAGUCUCGUACUUUCACAAGGGCAGGUGCGUGGUGUCCGGGGCUCGGGGCCCGCAUGUCGGUACGCCCUGCAGCGUGACGGUGGUGGAUAGUUACGAUUUUGGGCAGGAGAGGCUGGAGGAUUUACGGAUGCGGUGCCCGGGGUCCUGCUGGAGCGCGAUGCUAUCUCGCCACUCGCAGGCUGUAAUGGACCCCCAGGACAUGUGACUUUGGACGGGUAUUUCAUUUGUAUUUUCCAAUAUAUAGAACAUACUUCUAAUCUUUAAUACGUAAGAGUAUGUGUAUAAUAUGGUCGUUACAAAAUUGGAUGCAACGCAUUACAAAAUCGGAUGCAACGAUCAAUGGUGUAUAUACCUCAUUAUGUAUGAUGACAUGUCAAGUUAAUACACCAUGGUAUUAGAUCAUACACGAAUCAGGUAUGAAGAAAAAUGAACAUAUGUGUCUCGUUAGCAUGUGUACAUAUGUCUAUAUUUAUGUUUUUGUUUUACACCAACAAGAUUCACUUUCGUUUUGUUCCUUAUUCACCAAUGGGUUGUUGUGAGCCAUGCAAAUUUCGUUGAAUAAAUAGAGGAGUAGCUACUUUUGCAACUUAGUUUGCCUUGAGAUUCACUUUGAUUUCUAAACAUUGCGGGAAUUUUCGCGUUUUCUAAUCAUUCUAGCCUCCGAGGAACCGCACAGCUUGCAACUACUUGAUUAGGUCCAUUUUGCGGUAUAAUUGGCAGAUUUGUGGUAUACAUAUGGUAAGUAGUUGUUUCCAUUAUUGAAAACUUCAACAAAACUACUUUUUCUGUUGUAUCAUUUAUUUUAUUUUAUUUAUCUAUCAAUUCCUAUCGUACCGUGCAAUUUACAUUUGUAACUAGUUGGACAGGAAGCUUGAUAACCUUCUUGAAACGUUGGGGGAAGAGUGUGUUGUUUUUGUGUGCAUUGUGUACCUUGUGACUUUGUUUGCUGUGAGAACUCUUUCUUGAUCGAUAAACCUUGGUUCUCAAAUCAAGGGAAAUAUUUAUUGCUAGGUUAUUUCACCCUUAUACUUGGGGUCACCCAACCACUCUUAUGAGAAAGCAAGCAGCAGCCUCCAUGCAUGUCAUGCGAGUUAAGGCUUGGUUAAACAAGCGGUAAUCCCAGAAUCCAAGGGCACCUCUCGCCCUUGGCCGAACAAUUCGGUCCCGUCUUUCCGGUGUGCUUUCCGUGAACCCCACCAACAACUCUUAGCCACCCUUGCCAGGUCCUCGCACACCAAGCAUAAUAACUUGAAGACUCCCAUAACAUAGGUUAGGAUGGCCUGCGCUAUUGCCUUUAUCAAUACUUUCUUUCCACUUUUGCACUAGAUGACCAUCUCCCCACACACAUAUGUGCUUCAUCAGUCUUCCUUGUAAAAUUUAAAUUUUUCCCUGGUGCAUGCGACCAGUCGGAGUGGGAAACCCAAGUGUUUAUCCUCAAAUUUUCCUCGUUACAGGCCAAGUUCAGAUCUGACUUGGUCUUGGGGUGGGCACGAGGCAUGCUUGGACAAAGAGAAUCGACCACCCGGUAGGAUUUAUUAACUGCCCAAUGGAACCUUCAUAAUUUCCUUAUCCGUCUUUACUUGUUAUUGAUCUGCGUGGAAGAAGAAAAGUGCAUCAUCCACAAAAAGGUUUGAGAUACACGGCGCACUGCGACAAAUUUUCAGAGGUUCAAUACCAUGUGAUUUCACACCAUGCUUAAGUAGCAUAGAAAGACAAUCGGCAACAAAGAGAAACAAAAAGGGAGACAAGGGAUCACCUUGCCGGAGGUCACACUACGGUGCGAACAGAUCCAAGAGGGUCUUGUUGAAUUUGACUGGAUAUCUCACCGCGAUGACACACAUCAUAAUCCAGUGCACCCACCGGUGAGUGAAACCCAAAUUUUCUAUCACUUGCUUCAAGAAUCCUCAAUCGACUCGAUCAAAUGCUUUGGACAGGUCCGGCUUAUAGUCACAAUAGCUAUCUUCUUAUUUCUUCUCGUGAUGCAUGGCAUGUAUUCACUCAAAGGCCACUAAAGCAUUAUCUGUAAUCAAGCGGCCUGGAACAAAAGCAAUCUAAAAAGGUGAUAUAAUCUCGUCUAAGAUUCUUCGAAGCCGGUUAACGAGACACUUUGCCACAAUCUUAUAGAUGACAUUGCAUAAACUUAUGGUCGUCGCUUUUGGGAUUAGAACAAUGAUCGCCUCAUUUACUCCCUCAUGCAUUACCCCGGUUUGGACAAAAAUUCUUACUACCCUCACAAUUUUCUCCUUAAAAAAUGCUCCAAUUCCACUAAAAGAAACGUGUCGGUAUCCAUCAUUAGUACCAGGUGCCUUUAGGGGGGCUAUUUGAAACAAUGCAUCCCGUAUUUCUUUCUCUGAAAAAUGCACACAAUUUCAUGUUUAUAUCAUCAGUAAUAAACGGUUCAAACAAUUACCACAGUGUUCGAGCAAUGCCAUUGUCACCAGUAAAAAUUCCCUGGAAGUAGAUCUACACAAGUUGACCCAUCGCUACAUGUUUCCUCUAUUCCAACCCAUAUGCAUCCAACAAAUACUUGACUCUAUUUUUCCUUGCCUACCAAAUAGCUUUACUAGCGAAAAUGUUGGUGUUACGGUCUCCUUCCUUAAGCCAAUCGAUUCAUUCGUGUGGUUUGUAACGCGCUUCACUUCAUCCCUCGGCCUGCAUUCAUAUUCAGUAAUUCCUCAAGGCGGCUUCUAGACUUCUCAAGUUCCCUACUCACGUUGCCAAAUCUCUUACAUUCCCAUGUGUGCAGGUCACAUAGUAAGUUGCGUAGUCCUGCUCUUAUAUCCCCCAAGCUGAAAUGGUCUCCUGCCUUUUCCCAUUCCAUGGCAAUCCGUUCAGGGAGACUAGCAUCCCGCUCCCAUAGGAUUUCACAACAUCUUAUUUUCGGUUUGAAUAUCUUCUCCCCAUCUACUUCACAUGUCAACACAAAGGGGAGAUUGUCAGAACAUGGCGAGACUUCAUGUAUCAACUUUGCUAUUGUGAAAAUAUCCCUCCGUCUGUUAUCCGCAAUAGCCCGGUCUAACUGGACUUUGACAUUUCGACAACCGCGUUGUUUAUUAUCAAAUGUAAAUGGACACCCCUGAAAUCCCAAAUCCACCAACUAACAAGUUUCAAGAACAUCAUGAAAAGCCAUCAUUUGAUUUUCAUUUAUUGGAGUGCCUGAUAGAUGCUCAAAAGACCAAAGAGCUUCAUUACAAUCUCCCAUAACACACCAAGGCAAAUCUGAUUCUACUUUAAAGUUUUGCAGCUUUGACCACAUUAGAUGCAUAUUCUCUCUACGCGGUUCGCCAUACACACAAGUCAGACGCCACAUGGGAACAGAAGGAGACACACGCACGAGUGCAUUAAUCUUUCAUUCAAAUCUUGGACAUUGACGCUCAACUGGUCACACCAAAACAGAGUAAGACAUCCACUAAGACCAACACUGUCAACACCAGCAAAACUUGUAAGUCAUAGUCGACCCGAAGACGAUGAACCUUUGAUAGUCCAUUCUGUAUCACUAUUUCCUACUAUAAUUUAUCUUAUUUCCAUGAUAUAUUUUACAUUGUAAUGCAAUUCUAAUGUCUUUCAUCUCUUAAAAUGCAAGGUAUACACAGAGAGGGGAUUGCUGGACAUUUGGAAAUUCGGACCAAAAUUCAACAGAAGAAAAAGCAAUUUUUCGGAGAUCCAAAAGCAGCGGGGAUUUUACCGAGUUGUUUAUAAAAACUAUGAAGCCACAUGCCAAAAGAUGGGCCAGAGGGCCAGGACGCCGCGCGGGCACCCCACGCUGGUGUGCCUUAGGCCGUGUGCAUGGACGCUUGGGCCCCUAGUGGCUCGCCUCUGAUGCCCUUUGUUCAUAAAUUCCCAUUUGCCCUAGAAAAAUAGAUCCUCUGGAAUUUUUGGCGUCAUCUGCGAGGCUGAACCUAGGCGGAGCACUUUUGCUCUCCGUGGAGUGAUUCUGCUAGGAAAACUUCCUUUCGGGAGGGGAAAAUCAAAGUCACCAUCAUCACCAACACUUUGUUCAUCGUUGAGAUCAUCAUCUUCACCAACACCAUCUCAUCUCCAAACCCUAGUUUAUCCCUUUUGUUCAAUCUCUGUAUCAAACCUCAUAUUCGUAACUAGGAGUACUUGUAUGUGUUGAUUACACCUUCUAGUUGAUGCAAAGGAGAUUUAUUGGUGAAAGAUUCUUGUGUUCAGAUUGUUUACAAAAUAUUUAUACCCACUUAUCAUGAUCCAUAUGAUGUCUUGUGAGUAGAUCCCGAUGGCUCUGUAUUUUACGCAAUUUUAGAGCUCAUAUGUUGCAUGUGUUCUUCAUAUAUUAUGUCCCAUUGAACCAAAUAUUGUCCAUUAUGCAUGAUUACCCGCUUUGCACUUUUCAUUGUGAGCAUUGCACAUUCGUGUAUUUUUUUGUUAGUUUCCUUCUUUUCUUGUGUCUAUAGGUGUAUUGGAGCAACCUAGGACCAAGCACGAUGAAAGGAGCAAGGAUGGGUUCAAUACGGAGUCAGCCACGGGUCAGACUUAGCCAUUUCGAAGGCUGGAAAAGGUCAUUUUUUCCAAAGUGCUCCAAAUCAAGAUCUAAUACCACAAAUGGAUCAACGUCAUUCAUACGAAUCCAAUGAGCACAAGAACGUCAAAUUCCGAGUUUGUAUGUAGAAAUGGCGGUCGUUUUACCGGGCGAGUCCAUACCAAAAGACGGCAUUUCGAACGACCGCACACGGUCGUUUGAGCGGUUGUUUGACGUGUAGACAGCUCUGAAAGUUGCCUCUCUAGAUGGGAUUCUUCACCGAUUUCGCCCCCGUUCGAUCCCAUGGAAUCCUUGGCUCAUAAAGAAGAGAUUGGGAGAGUAUUUGGCUCACCUAGAGCCCUUGGAUGAAGCCCAUCUAGAGAGGAGGCUAGGGAGACUCUCUAUAUAUGUCUCCCUCAACCCUAGCCGUGGUCAUCACACAUCCACAUUCAUUCACCCACGCAACUGUCUUCCAUCUCCAUUGUUUCCCCAAGACCACCUCCAUAGAUAAGAGAAGGGCCAAGCCAAGAGGAAGAAGAAGGGGUGCCUCCACCACGCGCAUCGGCCUUUGGGCCGGUGCAGUCUUCACCGUGGCGCGCCAUCGUCACCACCACCGGCGCCGCCUUGCCCCUCUCCUCCACCGGCUACAUGCCGGCUUGUAAGUUGCUCUCUCCCUCUAUGAUGUUUGAGUAGUUGUGUUAGUUUUUGAAGAAUUGGAUAACCCUUACAUGUUUGGUACUUUGUUGAAUAAGUGAUCCAAUAUUCUCUUUAUAUGUAUUGCAUCGAUUGUCUCAUGGUGUUGUGAAGGGCGCCCACACAGUAUUGGCCAAUUAUGGACUUGAGGUGAUUUAUGUUGAGAAGGGUAGUUGUAGAGGGUAGGUGGUGACAGGACCUAUUCCCGCUUCCUCUCUGAUCAUUGCAAUAGGGAUUGGUGGAGAACCCUAGAAUUUAAGGCCGUGACCACGGGGAGUUUACUCCCCUUAAUCAUCGUUGUGAUAACCGGAGUGGGGAAGCAUGGUGAUGGCACGAGUGUAUGUGGUAACCUUAGUGGGGAUGCGUACUUUACAUGGCUCCGCCCACGCGAGAUCAUAUAAAAGUGGCUUAAUGAUACAAUUAGAGAGCCAUGUUUAUCAUGUUUUGUCAGCAUCAUACUUGUGUUGAUGACUCCAGCUCCCAAGAGAACGUUUACUACUCAAGCACCAUUUCACGUAGUUUAGUCUCUUUACUUUUCUGUCUUUUAUUUCUUGUUCAUAGUUUACUAAACACUAUCCCUUUUAUUCGUGUUCCUAGCAACUUACUAAAGUAGGCUAUUUCCAAACUACGGUUUGGGUGCGUACGUAGCUCGUUAAGUGACAGUGUAGCUACGGGGUUUGUGGUGCCUUCCUAUUUGCUCCCUGUGGGUUCGACACUCUAUUUAUCACGAAAGUGCUACAACAGCCAUGUGCACUUGUAGGUCAUCAAGCCUUUUCUGGCGCCGUUGCUGGGGAGCAUAACGCUUGAUUAUUACUUACCCGCUCGCAUAUAGUUUAUUUAUGUUUGUUUCUACUUAACAAAAAACAUCAAAAAAUGUCUGGCUUUGAGAUGUCUUCUGCAGGAAUUAGAAUGCUACAAGGAAACAAAACGAAAAGAGAGGAAUGAUAUAUGCUCAAUAUCAAUAUUCAUUUAAAGGUAUUGAAAUGGGUGAUAAAUUGGAGGCAUUGUAUAUUUACGCUAAAGGUAUAUUUGCAUAUCCAUCAUCUUGUGAGCAUUGUAAGUCCAAAUGCCAUAUGAGAUUCAGCUGUAAAUUUAACGUAACCCUGUUGUAGUAGCAUAUAACAGUGACUGGUACAUAUUUGAUCAUGUUGCAAUUAUUGAGGAACUAAUGCUCUAUUACAGAACAUUAGAAUUGAUGAAUAGGGUGAAGGAGCUCUCUAUAUGAUAACCCACAAGUAUAGGGGAUCAAUUGUAGCCUCUUUCGAUAAGUAAGAGUGUCGAACCCAACGAGGAUCUAAAGGUAGAACAAAUAUUCCCUCAAGUUCUAUCGACCACCGAUACAACUCUACGCACGCUUAACGUUCGCUUUACCUAGAACAAGUACAAACCUAGAAGUGUUGUUGGAUAGGUUUGCAAGAUAAUAAAGAGCGCGUAAAUAAAAAGUAGGGGUUGUUUAGAUAAAGACACAACUAAAUUAGUUUUAGUAGAUAACUUGUUGUCACACAAGAAAGUUAUUUGUCCCUAGGCAAUCGAUAACUAGACCGGUAAUCACUAUUGCAAUUUUAUUUGAGGGAGAGGCAUAAGCUAACAUACUUUCUCUUCUUGGAUCAUAUGCAUUUAUGAUUGGAACUCUAGCAAGCAUCCGUAACUACUAAAGAUCAUUAAGGUAAAACCCAACCAUAGCAUUAAAGUAUCAAGUCCUCUUUAUUCCCAUACGCCAUGACCCACUUAUCCGUGUUUGUGUUUCAGUCACUCACGCAACACAGACAAUAAGCAAACCAUGAACAUAUUGCAAACCCUACAGCGGGGAUCCCUCACGCUUGCGCGACACGGAGAGCACCAUAGGACAACACCAAUAAUAAACACAUGCAACUCAAACCAAUCACGAUCAUCAAUUAACCCAUAGGACAAAACGGAUCUAGUCAAACAUCAUAGGAUAGCCAUACAUCAUUGGGAAAUAAUAUAUAGUGCCGAGCACCAUGUUUAAGUAGAGAUUACAGCGGGUAAAAGAGGGGUUACACCGCUGCAUAGAGGGGGGAAGAGUUGGUGAUGACGGCGGUAAAGUUGUUGGUGUAGAUUGCGAUGACGAUGAUGGCCCCGGUGGCACUCCGGUGCCACCGGAAGCGAGGGGGAGAGAGCCCCCCUUCUUCUUCUUCCUUGGCCUUUUCCCUAGGUGGGAGAAGGGUUCUCCCUCUGGUCCUUGGUCUCCAUGGCGUGGGAGGGGCGAGAGCCCCUCCGAGAUUGGAUCUGUCUCUCUCUGUUUCUGCGUUCCCAGAUCUGGCCUUUCACCAUUUCUUAUAUUCCCGGAGAUCCGUAAUUCCGAUUGGGCUGAAUUUUGGACACGAUCUCUAUCCGGAUAUUAGCUUUCUUGCGGCGAAAGAAGGGCACCAACCGCCUUACGGGGUGGCCACGAGGGCCCAGGGCGCGCCUGACCCCCUGGGGGGCGCCCCCUGCCUCGUGGCCCCCUCGGGCAUCGUAUCGCGUUGAUUCUUCUUCCCAAAAAUCUCAUAUAUUCCAAAAAAAAACCUCCGUCAGUUUUUAUCCCGUUUGGACUCCGUUUGAUAUGGAUUUUCUGCGAAACAAAAAACAUGCAACAAACAGGAACUGGCACUGGGCACUGGAUCAAUAUGUUAGUCCCAAAAAUAGUAUAAAAAGUUGCCAAAAGUAUGUAAAAGUUGUAGAAUAUUGGCAUGGAACAAUCAAAAAAUUAUAGAUACGAUGGAUACGUAUCAGCAUCCCCAAGCUUAAUUCCUGCUCGUCCUCGAGUAGGUAAAUGAUAAAAAAGAUAAUUUUUGAUGUGGAAUGCUACCUAGCAUAAUCUUGAUCAUAUAAUCUAAUCAUGGCAUGAAUAUUAAGACACGAGUGAUUCAAAGCAUACUAAUCUUGAUCAUAUAAUCUAAUCAUGUCUAUCAUUUGACAUUAAGACAACAAUACUUCAAGCAUACUAAUAAAGCAAUCAUGUCUUUUCAAAAUAACAUGGCCAAAGAAAGUUAUCCCUACAAAAUCAUAUGGUCUGGCUAUGCUCCAUCUUCACCACACAAAAUAUUCAAAUCAUGCACAACCCCGAUGACAAGCCAAGCAUUUGUUUCAUACUUUUGAUGUUCUCGAACCUUUUCAACUUUCACGCAAUACAUGAGAGUGAGCCAUGGACAUAGCACUAUAGGUGGAAUAGAAUAUGAUGAUGGAGGUUGAGUGGAGAAGACAAAAAGGAGAAAGUCUCACAUCGACGCGGCUAAUCAACGGGCUAUGGAGAUGCCCAUCAAUUGAUGUCAAUGUGAGGAGUAGGGAUUGCCAUGCAACGGAUGCACUAGAGCUAUAAGUGUAUGAAAGCUCAAACUGAACUAAGUGGGUGUGCAUCCAACUUGCUUGCUUAUGAAGACCUAGGGCAUUUGAGGAAGCCCAUCGUUGGAAUAUACAAGCCAAGUUAUAUAAUGAAAAUUCCCACUAGUAUAUGAAAGUGAUAACUCAAGAGACUCUAUAUAUGAAGAACAUGGUGCUACUCUGAAGCACAAGUGUGGUAAAAGGAUAGUAACAUUGUCCCUUCUCUCUCUUUUUUUGUAGGCUUCUUUGGCCUCUCUAUUUUUUGGGGGGAUUCUUUGGCCACUUUUAUUUUGAUAACCUCACAUGGGACAAUGUUCUAAUAAUGAUGAUCAUCACACUUUUAUUUACUUACAACUCAAUAUUACAACUCGAUACUAGAACAAAGAUAGACUCUAUAUGAAUGCCUCUGGUGGUGUACCGGGAUGUGCAAUGAUCUAGCGUAGCAAUGACAUCAAAAAACAGACAAGCCAUGAAAACAUCAUGGUAGCUAUCUUACGAUCAUGCAAAGCAAUAUGACAAUAAAUGCCCAAGUCAUGUAUAUGAUGAUGAUGGAAGUUGCAUGGCAAUAUAUCUCGGAAUGGCUAUGGAAAUGCCAUAAUAGGUAGGUAUGGUGGCUGUUUUGAGGAAGAUAUAAGGAGGCUUAUGUGUGAUAGAGCGUAUCGUAUCACGGGGUUUGGAUGCACCGGCGAAGUUUGCACCAACUCUCGAGGUGAGAAAGGGCAAUGCACGGUACCUAAGAGGCUAGCAAUGAUGGAAGGGUGAGAGUGCGUAUAAUCCAUGGACUCAACAUUAGUCAUAAAGAACUCACAUACUUAUUGCAAAAAUCUAUUAGUCAUUGAAACAAAGUACUACGCGCAUGCUCCUAGGGGGAUAGAUUGGUAGGAAAAGACCAUCGCUCGUCCCCGACCGCCACUCAUAAGGAAGACAAUCAAUAAAUACCUCAUGCUCCAACUUCGUUACAUAACGGUUCACCAUACGUGCAUGCUACGGGAAUCAUAAACUUCAACAGAAGUAUUUCUACGAUCCACAACUACCCACUAGCAUGACUCUAAUAUCACCAUCUUUAUAUUGCAAAACUAUUGCAAGGAAUCAAACAUAUCAUAUUCAGUGAUCUACAAGUUUUAUGUAGGAUUUUAUGACUAACCAUGUGAAUGACCAAUUCCUGUCAUCUCUCUAAAUAGAUAUAAGUGAAGCAAGAGAGUUUAAUUUUUUCUACAAAAGAUAUGCCCACGCUCUAACAAAUAUAAGUGAAGCAAAAGAGCAUUUUACAAAUGGCGGUUUUCUAUGUGAAGAGAAACAGGCAAUCCAAACUUCAAAUGAUAUAUGCGAAGCACAUGAAGCAUUCUAUAAAUCCAUACUCAAAAGAUAUAAGUGAAGUGCAAUGAGCAUUCUAUAAAUCAACCAUGGACUAUCUCAUACCAGCAUGGUGCAUAAAACAAAAGUGAAAACUAAAUGCAAAAGACGCUCCAAGAUUUGCACAUAUCGCAUGAAUGAAACGAAUCCGAAAACAUACCGAUACUUGUUGAAGAAAGAUGGGAUGCCUUCCGGGGCAUCCCCAAGCUUAGGCGCUUGAGUCUCCCUGAAUAUUUACUUGGGGUGCCUUGGGCAUCCCCAAGCUUGAGCUCUUUCCUCUCCUCCUUCUCCUCACAUCCAGACUUCCUCGAUCUUCGAACACUUCAUCCACACAAAACUCAACAGGAAGUUUGGUAAGAUCCGUUAGUAUAAUAAAGCAAAUCACUACUCUAAGUACUGUGCAAACCAAUUCAUAUUUUGUUUUUGCAUUGUAGCUACUGUAAUAUAACUUUUCCAUGGCUUAAUCCACUGAUAGAAAUCGAUAGUUUCAUUAAAACAAGCAAACUAUGCAUCAAAAACAGAAUCUGUCUUAAACAGGACAGUCUGUAGUAAUCUGAACAUUCACCAUACUUCUGAUACCCCAAAAAUUCUGCCAAAAUUAGGAAAAAUAAACAAUUUGUAUAGAAAGACAGUGCAAAAAGGUUUCAGAACCGUUUGACAUUCCAGUAAAAAAUGUAAAAUCGCACACUACAGCCAAAGUUUCUGUUCUGCACCGCACAAACCAACAAGUAAUCUAAAACAUCCUAAAGGCAAACCUUGGCACAUUAUUUUUAUUUUUAAACUUUAUAAAAUCACACAACAGAAAUAAAUGACUCUCUAAAACUUCUGGGUUGUCUCCCUAGCAGCGCUUUCUUUAAAGACAUUAAGCUAGGCAUAUAGUGCUCAAGUAAUGGAUCCACCCGAAUCCCAAGGUAUAUCAAAGCCAAUUUUAAUUAACAAUGAUUUGUAAUUUAAUAGUGAGCACAAAGUAACAUAUAUCAUGUAAUGACGAAGUCUAACUCUCUUCUUAUGCAUCGGCAUGUCAUAAAAGAACAAUUCAUGCACAAAAAGUAAAGGCCAAUGCAUAGUAUAAACAGUUUCUUGCAAUUUUAUCAUGUUGGAAACAUGGAGAGGCGGAGAUGUAGUUCCUCUCUCAUAAUAAUUGCAAGUAGGAGCAGCAAGCACAUGCAUAUUAUAUCUAUCAAAAUCAUCAUGUGUAAUAGUAAAACGCAACCCAUCAAUAUAAUCCUUAAUAAGGGCAGACUUCUCCGAUAUAGUGUAGUCGGGAGAAUUCAAAAAGAUAAUAGGACUAUCAUGCGUGGGUGCAAUAGCAACAAUUUCAUGUUUAACAUAAGGAACUAUAGCAAGUUCAUCUCCAUAAGCAUAAUUCAUAUUGGCAUCUUGGCCACAAGCAUAGCAAGCAUCAUCAAAAAGGGAUAUUUCAAAAGAAUCAACGGGAUCAUAACAAUUAUCAUAGCAUUCAUCCUUCGGUAAGCACGAAGGGAAAUUAAACAAUGUAUGAGUUGAAAGUUACUCUCAUUAGAAGCUGGGCACGGGUGAUCAAUCCGCUCUUCCUCCUUUUGUUCUUCGCUCUCCUCCUCAUCUUUUUCAUCCAAUGAACUCACAAUGUCAUUAAUUUCUUCUUCCAUAGACUCCUGCAAAAUAUUAGUCUCUUCUUGGACAACGGAGACUCUCUCAAUAAAAUCAUCAAUAUCGGAAUUGAAUUCAUAAUUCUCAUAGCAAUAUUUAAGUAUACUAAAAUUUUCAGGUCUAUAAACCGAAUCAUCAAAAUCUUUGAUGCGGAGCAUCCUACGAUCAUCCCCAUGGACCUACCAUCGUCUCAUCAAGAACCAAGAGGACCCAUGACACGAGCACGAGCUAGAGCUCUCGAGAACGAGGUGACUUCCUUCCUUAGUGAUAUCACAUAUGAUCCACUCGAGACAUGGCUACUACCUAAGUCCGAUAUGCUAUGCAUGAUUAGGUGUCAAGAGGACCCUCCCGAGGAUGCAUGUGAAGACGGACAAGCUGCCAAGUCCAUGAAUGAAGAGAACCAACGGAAAGAGGAAAGAGCACCUCCCAGGCCUCGGACAUCCGGCCAAGACCCCGGACAUCCGGCCCCUGGAGCGUCCACCACAGCAGCAGCCCAGCUGCCCAACAUCUACAGGCCCCGGACAUCCGGACCGAUCCCGGAAAUCCGGCCAGAAGCCCGGACAUCCGGCGCCAUGCACCAGAACCUACAGAAGCUUGUUGGAAAUAUGCCCUAGAGGCAAUAAUAAAUGGUUAUUAUUAUAUUUCCUUGUUCAUGAUAAUUGUCUAUUGUUCAUGCUAUAAUUGUGUUAUCCGGAAAUCGUAAUACAUGUGUGAAUACAUAGACCAUAACGUGUCCCUAGUAAGCCUCUAGUUAACUAGCUCGUUGAUCAACAAAUAGUCAUGGUUUCCUGACUAUGGACAUUGGAUGUCAUUGAUAACGGGAUCACAUCAUUAGGAGAAUGAUGUGAUGGACAAGACCCAAUCCUAAGCAUAGCACAAAAGAUCGUGUAGUUCGUUUGCUAGAGCUUUUCCAAUGUCAAGUAUCAUUUCCUUAGACCAUGAGAUCAUGCAACUCCCGGAUACCGUAGGAGUGCUUUGGGUGUACCAAACAUCACAAUGUAACUGGGUGACUAUAAAGGUACACUACGGGUAUCUCCGAAAGUGUCUGUUGAGUUGGCACGGAUCGAGACUGGGAUUUGUCACUCCGUAUGACGGAGAGGUAUCUCUGGGCCCACUCGGUAAUGCAUCAUCAUAAUGAGCUCAAUGUGACUAAGGAGUUAGCCACGGGAUCAUGCAUUACGGUACGAGUAAAGUGACUUGCCGGUAACGAGAUUGAACAAGGUAUUGGGAUACCGACGACCGAAUCUCGGGCAAGUAACAUACCGAUUGAUAAAGGGAAUUGUAUACGGGAUUGAUUGAAUCCUCGACAUCGUGGUUCAUCCGAUGAGAUCAUUGUGGAACAUGUGGGAGCCAACAUGGGUAUCCAGAUCCCGCUGUUGGUUAGUGACCGGAGAGGCAUCUCGGUCAUGUCUGCAUGUCUCCCGAACCCGUAGGGUCUACACACUUAAGGUUCGGUGACGCUAGGGUUGUAGAGAUAUUAGUAUGCGGAAACCCAAAAGUUGUUCGGAGUCCCGGAUGAGAUCCCGGACAUCACGAGGAGUUCCGGAAUGGUCCGGAGGUGAAGAAUUAUAUAUAGGAAGUCCAGUUUCGGCCACCGGGAAAGUUUCGGGGGUUAUCGGUAUUGUACCGGGACCACCGGAAGGGUCCCGGGGGUCCACCGGGUGGGGCCACCUAUCCCGGAGGGCCCCCUGGGCUGAAGUGGGAAGCGAACCAGCCCUUAGUGGGCUGGGGCGCCCCCCCUUGGGCCUCCCCCUGCGCCUAGGGUUGGAAACCCUAGGGGUGGGGGGCGCCCCACUUGCCUUGGGGGGCAAGCCACCCCCUUGGCCGCCGCCCCCCCUCAGAUGGGAUCUCCAGGGUGGCCGGCGCCCCCCAGGACCCCUAUAAAUAGUGGGGGGGAGGGAGGGCAGCAACAACACAGCCCCUGGCGCCUCCCUCUCCCCCUGCAACACCUCUCCCUCCCGCUUGCGCUUGGCGAAGCCCUGACGGGAUCCCCGCUACUUCCACCACCACGCCGUCGUGCUGCUGGAUCUCUAUCAACCUCUCCUUCCCCCUUGCUGGAUCAAGAAGGAGGAGACGUCGCUGCUCCGUACGUGUGUUGAACGCGGAGGUGCCGUCCGUUCGGCGCUCGGUCAUCGGUGAUUUGGAUCACGAUGAGUACGACUCCAUCAACCCCGUUCACUAGAACGCUUCCGCUCGCGAUCUACAAGGGUAUGUAGAUGCACUCCUUUCCCCUCGUUGCUAGUAUACUCCAUAGAUGGAUCUUGGUGAUGCGUAGAAAAUUUUAAAAUUCUGCUACGAUCCCCAACAGUGGUAUCAGAGCCAGGCCUAUGCGUAGUUACUAUGCACGAGUAGAACACAAAGCAGUUGUGGGCGUAGAUGUUGUCAAUUUUUCUUGCCACUACUAGUCUUAUCUUGUUUCGGCGGUAUUGUGGGAUGAAGCGGCCCGGACCGACCUUACACGUACGCUUACGUGAGACAGGUUCCACCGACUGACAUGCACUGGUUGCAUAAGGUGGCUAGCGGGUGUCUGUCUCUCCCACUUUAGUCGGAACGGAUUCGAUGAAAGGGUCCUUAUGAAGGGUAAAUAGAAAUUGGCAUAUCACGUUGUGAUUUUACGUAGGUAAGAAACGUUCUUGCUAAAAACCUAUAGAAGCCACGUAAAAAACUUGCAACAACAAUUAGAGGACGUCUAACUUGUUUUUGCAGCAUGUGCCUUGUGAUGUGAUAUGGCCAGAAGAUGUGAUGAAUGAUAUAUGUGAUGUAUGAGAUUGAUCAUAUUCUUGUAAUAGGAAUCACGACUUGCAUGUCGAUGAGUAUGACAACCGGCAGGAGCCAUAGGAGUUGUCUUUAUUUUUUGUAUGACCUGCGUGUCAUUGAAUAACGCCAUGUAAAUUACUUUACUUUAUUGCUAAACGCGUUAGCCAUAGAAGUAGAAGUAAUCGUUGGCGUGACAACUUCAUGAAGACACAAUGAUGGAGAUCAUGAUGAUGGAGAUCAUGGUGUCAUGCCAGUGACGAAGAUGAUCAUGGCGCCCCGAAGAUGGAGAUCAAAGGAGCAAAAUGAUGAUGGCCAUAUCAUGUCACUAUUUGAUUGCAUGUGAUGUUUAUCAUGUUUUGCAUCUUAUUUGCUUAGAACGACGGUAGUAAGUAAGAUGAUCCCUUAUAAUAAUUUCAAGAAAGUGUCCCCCCUAACUGUGCACCGUUGCGAAGGUUCGUUGUUUUGAAGCACCACGUGAUGAUCGGGUGUGAUAGAUUCUAACAUUCGCAUACAACGGGUGUUGACGAGCCUAGCAUGUACAGACAUGGCCUCGGAACACACACAAUACACUUAGGUUGACUUGACAAGCCUAGCAUGUACAGACAUGGCCUCGGAACACGGAAGACCGAAAGGUCGAGCAUGAGUCCUAUAGAAGAUACGAUCAACAUGGAGAUGUUCACCGAUCUUGACUAGCCCGUCUCACGUGAUGAUCGGACACGGCCUAGUUAACUCGGAUCAUGUUUCACUUAGAUGACUGGAGGGAUGUCUAUCUGAGUGGGAGUUCAUUGAAUAAUUUGAUUAGAUGAACUUAAUUAUCAUGAACUUAGUCUAAAAUCUUUACAAUAUGUCUUGUAGAUCAAAUGGCCCACGUUGUCCUCAACUUCAACACGUUCCUAGAGAAAACCAAGCUGAAAGAUGAUGGCAGCAACUAUACGGACUGGGUCCGGAACCUGAGGAUCAUCCUCAUAGCUGCCAAGAAAGAUUAUGUCCUAGAAGCACCGCUAGGUGAAGCACCCAUCCCAGAGAACCAAGACGUUAUGAACGCUUGGCAAUCACGUGCUGAUGAUUACUCCCUCGUUCAGUGCAGCAUGCUUUACAGCUUAGAACCGGGGCUCCAAAAGCGUUUUGAGAAACAUGGAGCAUAUGAGAUGUUCGAAGAGCUGAAAAUGGUUUUCCAAGCUCAUGCCCGGGUCGAGAGAUAUGAAGUCUCCGACAAGUUCUUCAGUUGUAAAAUGGAGGAAAAUAGUUCUGUCAGUGAGCACAUACUCAGAAUUUCUGGGUUACACAACCGCUUGUCUCAGCUGGGAGUGAAUCUCCCGGAUGACGCGGUCAUUGACAGAAUCCUUCAGUCGCUUCCACCAAGCUACAAGAGCUUUGUGAUGAACUUCAAUAUGCAGGGGAUGGAAAAGACCAUUCCUGAGGUAUAUUCAAUGCUGAAAUCAGCGGAGGUGGAGAUCAAAAAGGAACAUCAAGUGUUGAUGGCGAAUAAAACCACUAAGUUCAAGAAAGGCAAGGGUAAGAAGAACUUAAAGAAAGAUGACAAGGGAGUUGCCGCGCCCGGUAAACCAGUUGCCGGGAAGAAGCCAAGGAAUGGACCCAAGCCUGAGACUGAGUGCUUUUAUUGCAAGGGAAGUGGUCACUGGAAGCGGAACUGCCCAAAAUACUUAGCGGACAAGAAGGCCGGCAACACCAAAGGUAUAUGUGAUAUACAUGUAAUUGAUGUGUACCUUACCAGUACUCGUAGUAGCUCCUGGGUAUUUGAUACCGGUGCGGUUGCUCAUAUUUGUAACUCAAAACAGGAGCUGCGGAAUAAGCGGAGACUGGCGAAGGACGAGGUGACGAUGCACGUCGGGAAUGGUUCCAAGGUCGAUGUGAUCGCCGUCGGCAUGCUACCUCUGCAUUUACCUACGGGAUUAGUUUUAAACCUCAAUAAUUGUUAUUUAGUGCCAGAUUUGAGCAUGAACAUUGUAUUUGGAUCUCGUUUAAUUCGAGAUGGCUACUCAUUUAAAUCCGAGAAUAAUGGUUGUUCUAUUUAUAUGAGAGAUAUGUUUUAUGGUCAUGCCCCGCUGGUCAAUGGUUUAUUCUUGAUGAAUCUCGAACGUGAUGUUACACAUAUUCAUAGUGUGAAUACCAAAAGAUGUAAAGUUGAUAAUGAUAGUCCCACAUACUUGUGGCACUGCCGCCUUGGUCACAUUGGUGUCAAACGCAUGAAGAAGCUCCAUGCAGAUGGACUUUUGGAGUCUCUUGAUUACGAAUCAUUUGACACGUGCGAACCAUGCCUCAUGGGUAAGAUGACCAAGACUCCGUUCUCCGGAACAAUGGAGUGAGCAACCAACUUAUUGGAAAUCAUACAUACUGAUGUGUGCGGUCCAAUGAGUGUUGAGGCUCGCGGUGGCUAACGUUAUGUUCUUACUCUCACUGAUGAUUUAAGUAGAUAUGGGUAUGUCUACCUAAUGAAACACAAGUCUGAAACCUUUGAAAAGUUCAAGGAAUUUCAGAGUGAGGUUGAGAAUCAACGUGACAGGAAAAUAAAGUUCUUACGAUCAGAUCGUGGUGGAGAAUAUUUAAGUCACAAAUUUGGUACGCACUUAAGGAAAUGUGGAAUCGUUUCACAACUCACGCCGCCUGGAACACCUCAGCGAAACGGUGUGUCCGAACGUCGUAAUCGCACUCUAUUGGAUAUGGUGCGAUCUAUGAUGUCUCUUACCGAUCUACCGCUCUCAUUUUGGGGCUAUGCUUUAGAGACUGCCACAUUCACUUUAAAUAGGGCUCCGUCGAAAUCCGUUGAGACGACACCGUAUGAAUUAUGGUUUGGGAAGAAACCUAAGCUGUCGUUUCUAAAAGUUUGGGGAUGCGAUGCUUAUGUCAAGAAACUUCAACCUGAAAAGCUCGAACCCAAGUCGGAAAAAUGCGUCUUCAUAGGAUACCCUAAGGAAACCAUUGGGUAUACCUUCUACCUCAGAUCCGAAGGCAAGAUCUUUGUUGCCAAGAACGGGUCCUUUCUGGAGAAAGAGUUUCUCUCGAAAGAAUUAAGUGGGAGGAAAGUGGAACUUGAUGAGGUGAUAGUCACCCCUUCCGAACCAGAAAGUAGCGCAGCGUGGGAAGAUGUUCCUGUGGUGCCUACACCGACUGGGGAGGAAGUUAAUGAUGAUGAUCAUGAAGCUUCGGAUCAAGUUACUGCUGAACUUCGUAGGUCCACAAGGACACGUUCUGCACCAGAGUGGUACGGCAACCCUGUCCUGGAAAUCAUGUUGUUAGACAACGGUGAACCUUCGAACUAUGAAGAAGCGAUGGCGGGCCCGGAUUCCGACAAAUGGCUAGAAGCCAUGAAAUCCGAGAUAGGAUCCAUGUAUGAAAACGAAGUAUGGACUUUGACUGACUUGCCCGAUGAUCGGCGAGCCAUAGAAAAUAAAUGGAUCUUUAAGAAGAAGACAGACGCGGAUGGUAACGUGACCAUCUAUAAGGCUCGACUUGUCGCUAAGGGUUAUUGACAAGUUCAAGGGGUUGACUACGAUGAGACUUUCUCACCCGUAGCGAAGCUGAAGUCCGUCCGAAUCAUGUUAGCAAUUGCCACAUUCUAUGAUUAUGAGAUAUGGCAAAUGGACGUCAAAACGGCAUUCCUUAACGGCUUUCUUAAGGAAGAAUUGUAUAUGAUGCAGCCGAAAGGUUUUGUCGAUCCUAAGAAUGCUAAAAAGGUAUGCAAGCUCCAGCGCUCUAUCUAUGGGCUGGUGCAAGCAUCUCGGAGUUGGAACAUUCCUUUGAUGAGAUGAUCAAAGCGUUUGGGUUUACACAGACUUAUGGAGAAACCUGUGUUUACAAGAAAGUGAGUGGGAGCUCUGUAGCAUUUCUCUUAUUAUAUGUGGAUGACAUACUAUUGAUGGGAAAUGAUAUAGAAUUCUUGGAAAGUAUAAAGGCCUGUUUGAAUAAGUGUUUUUCAAUGAAGGACCUUGGAGAAGCUGCUUAUAUAUUAGGCAUCAAGAUCUAUAGAGAUAGAUCAAGACGCCUCAUAGGUCUUUCGUAGAGUACAUACCUUGACAAUAUAUUGAAGAAGUUCAAUAUGGAUCAGUCCAAGAAGGGGUUCUUGCCUGUAUUGCAAGGUGUGCAAUUGAGCACGGCUCAAUGCCCGACCACGGCAGAAGAUAGAGAAAAGAUGAGUGUCAUCCCCUAUGCCUCGGCCAUAGGGUCUAUUAUGUAUGCCAUGUUGUGUACCAGACCUGAUGUAAACCUUGCCGUAAGUUUGGUAGGAAGGUACCAAAGUAAUCCCGACAUGGAACACUGGACAGCGGUCAAGAAUAUCCUGAAGUACCUGAAGAGGACUAAGGAUAUGUUUCUCGUUUAUGGAGGUGACGAAGAGCUCGUCGUAAAGGGUUACGUCGAUGCUAGCUUCGACACAGGUCUGGAUGACUCGAAGUCACAAACCGGAUACGUGUAUAUUUUGAAUGGAGGGGCAGUAAGCUGGUGCAGUUGCAAGCAAAGCAUCGUGGCGGGAUCUACAUGUGAAGCGGAGUACAUGGCAGCCUCAGAGGCAGCGCAAGAAGCAAUCUGGAUGAAGGAGUUCAUUACCGACCUAGGGGUGAUUCCCAAUGCGUCGGACCCGAUGACUCUCUUCUGUGACAACACUGGAGCUAUUGCCCUUGCCAAGGAGCCCAGGUUUCAUAGGAAGACCAGGCAUAUCAAGCGUCGCUUCAACUCCAUUUGUGAAAGUGUUCAAAAUGGAGACAUAGAUAUUUGUAAAGUACAUACGGACCUGAAUGUAGCAGAUCCGUUGACUAAACCUCUCCCUAGAGCAAAACAUGAUCAACACCAGAACUCUAUGGGUGUUCGAUUCAUCACAAUGUAACUAGAUUAUUGACUCUAGUGCAAGUGGGAGACUGUUGGAAAUAUGCCCUAGAGGCAAUAAUAAAUGGUUAUUAUUAUAUUUCCUUGUUCAUGAUAAUUGUCUAUUGUUCAUGCUAUAAUUGUGUUAUCCGGAAAUCGUAAUACAUGUGUGAAUACAUAGACCAUAACGUGUCCCUAGUAAGCCUCUAGUUGACUAGCUCGUUGAUCAACAUAUAGUCAUGGUUUCCUGACUAUGGACAUUGGAUGUCAUUGAUAACGGGAUCACAUCAUUAGGAGAAUGAUGUGAUGGACAAGACCCAAUCCUAAGAAUAGCACAAAAGAUCGUGUAGUUCGUUUGCUAGAGCUUUUCCAAUGUAAAGUAUCAUUUCCUUAGACCAUGAGAUCGUGCAACUCCCGGAUACCGUAGGAGUGCUUUGGGUGUACCAAACGUCACAACAUAACUGGGUGACUAUAAAGGUACACUACGGGUAUCUCCGAAAGUGUCUGUUGAGUUGGCACGGAUCGAGACUGGGAUUUGUCACUCCGUAUGACGGAGAGGUAUCUCUGGGCCCACUCGGUAAUGCAUCAUCAUAAUGAGCUCAAUGUGACUAAGGAGUUAUCCACGGGAUCAUGCAUUACGGUACGAGUAAAGUGACUUGCCGGUAAUGAGAUUGAACAAGGUAUUGGGAUACCGACGAUCGAAUCUCGGGCAAGUAACAUACCGAUUGACAAAGGGAAUUGUAUACGGGAUUGAUUGAAUCCUCGACAUCGUGGUUCAUCCGAUGAGAUCAUCAUGGAACAUGUGGGAGCCAACAUGGGUAUCCAGAUCCCGCUGUUGGUUAGUGACCAGAGAGGCAUCUCGGUCAUGUCUGCAUGUCUCCCGAACCCGUAGGGUCUACACACUUAAGGUUCGAUGACGCUAGGGUUGUAGAGAUAUUAGUAUGCGGAAACCCGAAAGUUGUUCGGAGUCCCGGAUGAGAUCCCGGACAUCUUGAGGAGUUCCGGAAUGGUCCGGAGGUGAAGAAUUAUAUAUAGGAAGUCCACUUUCGGCCACCGGGAAAGUUUCGGGGGUUAUCGGUAUUGUACCGGGACCACCGGAAGGGUCCCGGGGGUCCAACGGGUGGGGCCACCUAUCCCGGAGGGCCCCAUGGGCUGAAGUGGGAAGUGAACCAGCCCUUAGUGGGCUGGGGCGCCCCCCCUUGGGCCUCCCCCUGCGCCUAGGGUUGGAAACCCUAGGGGUGGGGGGCGCCCCACUUGCCUUGGGGGGCAAGCCACCCCCUUGGCCGCCGCUCCCCCUCAGAUGGGAUCUCCAGGGUGGCCGGUGCCCCCCUAGGACCCCUAUAAAUAGUGGGGGGGAGGGAGGGCAGCAACAACACAGCCCCUGGCGCCUCCCUCUCCCCCUGCAACACCUCUCCCCCCCGCUUGCGCUUGGCGAAGCCCUGCCGGGAUCCCCGCUACUUCCACCACCACGCCGUCGUGCUGCUGGAUCUCCAUCAACCUCUCCUUCCCCCUUGUUGGAUCAAGAAGGAGGAGACGUCGCUGCUCCGUACGUGUGUUGAACACGGAGGUGCCGUCCGUUCGGCGCUCGGUCAUCGGUGAUUCGGAUCACGACGAGUACGACUCCAUCAACCCCGUUCACUAGAACGCUUCCGCUCGCGAUCUACAAGGGUAUGUAGAUGCACUCCUUUCCCCUCGUUGCUAGUAUACUCCAUAGAUGGAUCUUGGUGAUGCGUAGAAAAUUUUAAAAUUCUGCUACGAUCCCCAACAAAGCUGACUCCACCAGCCCGGACAUCCGGCCUCCAAGCCCGGACAUCCGGCCCUUCGGGAAGGCCCGGACAUCCGGCCCGUCGCCCGGACAUCCGGCUCCGUCUGUCUGCGCACAGUAAAGGGCCGAGGCCCAUGUACCCUUUCGCCCCCCUAGACUAUAUAUACUCCUAUUCCUCCCUCUUUCUAGGGUUAGAAAAGGAUUAGCUCAUAUGUGAGAUAGAGCUUUGCUCAUCCAUUACGGAUCUACUCCACGAGAGAGACCGCGGCCCCUCUACGGAGAAGAUCCCCUUGGAUUCAAGACCCCCUCUUGGGUGGCCCCAUCAAGACCUCCUCACGGAGAAGAACCGGUUACCCUUUGUAUCGUUCGUUGUUGACUUUGGAUCCUGUAUCUCCCCUUGUGUUUCGAGGAUCUAGCACAUGUGUAAUCGAAUCUUGUUGGCUUGAGUGUUUCUCUUGUGUUUCCCCUCGUUUUUCCCUCGUGUUCUACGUGUUCUUUAGUUGGGAUCCGCUCCUAUCGUGAAAGAUCGUCCCUCUAGGGUUCCACCCUACAUCAUCUUGGUAUCAUGAGCCACGUUGAUCACGAUUUCGGAGCCUCCCCGUUGUGUUUUCUAGCCUAGUUUUGUUGAUUUUGUCCCAAAUUCGAAAAUUGCCCCACAAAAAUAGCCCCAAUUUUUUUUUGUGAUUUGUUGGUGUGAUGAAGUUUUGUUGGAUUCGAUCCGUGGAUUUCGUGUGUUGCAGGUAGAUCUAGCUUUCCCCCAUCUUUUCCCCAAUUUCCAUCCACAAAAUCUUCCGAUUUUUGCCCCGGAUUUGACCUCUCCACGCGGUGUUCAUCAAAUUCGUCCAUGGAUCCAAAGCCCGGACAUCCGGCCCCACCCGGACAUCCAGCCAUCAGCCCGGACAUCCGGCCCCUGGCAGCAACACUUCCAUCCACCGCUCCGUUUCCCACCUAACUUUCACCCAAUUUUGUUCUGGUGCCCACAUACACUUCCGCAUACCACCACCACUUCCGCAUAGCGCCACCAUAGCCUUUCCUGCUACCAACUCCGACAAUUUUGACCCGUUUUGUUUUGAGAAUUCGAGUUGUGGUUUCCGUGUCCUAUUGUGUUUCGGCUAUCUAGGUACGGUUCAACAUCAACAUCACCACCGCUCAUCUUCGCCAAGGAAUACUACGAACGACUACAUCACUUUGGUAUCAACCUCACCUUGGUAUCAUCUUGGUAUCGUGAUAUCAUCAUACUUGCUUGCAUUUGCAUUGAUAACCCCAUAGCCUUACUUUUGCGUCACUUACCCAUCGAGACUAGCCUUUGAGUAUUGCCGGCAACAUGACUUGUGCACAUUAGUGAUCAUACUUCCCAUAGCAUACCAUAUUAUUGUGUUGCAUAUCUUAGUAUCAUCUCUUGUGUCACAAAGUUAUCAACGCAUACACAAUUGCUACCUUGGUUCGUGAAGCAUUGCAUGAGAAAAGAGCUCAAACAACGACGAGCCAAACAAGCUUUUAAGCAAAAGAGGAAAGAUAAGCAAAGAGCUUAUACGCAAGAACCAUAGCAUCAUACUACAUUAAGAUUGUCACACUCGAUCAUCUUGGAUCAUACCAUUGGAAUACCAUACAUAUAGCAUACUUGGGAUAGAAGUCGUUGCAUUUUUGCCUAGUAGGUUGUGCACAAGUUCGUAUCCGCCUAUUGUGCAAUCGUGCUAGCAUCUCUCUAGUGUUGUACAACACGAGCAUCUUUGUGGUUUCCACAUUUUGGCUCACCCUUGGUUGCACGACCCCACUUAUCUAUUUGCGUGUGUGUUUCCGUGUACCUUAUCUUGCUUGGUCUACUUGUUGCAUUUGCAAUUUGCGAAUCUUUUCCAACAUUAUUGAAACUCACUAACAAUUGCAUCAAAUUUUGUGCCACCAUCCUAACCAAGCUCCACCAUAAGCUUUCACUUGUGUGUAGGUGUGAGAAACCGACAAGAAUUGGUACCAAUUGUGCUAUUUGCUUGUUAUACAUUGGAGUGAUCUUUGAUCCAUUUUCAACAUCGGUCAAGGUACAUUUGGUAUUGGUUCUUCUUUUUCUCCAACUCACAUAUCUUUGUUUGGAAUGAUGGAUAGGCCAAGUACUUCUACCAACCCACUUUUCUUGGAGCAGGACGACGACAUGUCAUCCUACGUCACCAAGAGCCACCUCUUUGGUGCACAACAAGCUUUGCAUCAAGAACAACAAGCAAUGAGCGACCGCAUCGACAACCUCGCCACCGACUUGCGACUCUCCGAGCAACAUACAAGAGACUACUUCGACAACAAGCUCGACGAACACAAGCACGAGAAUGACGCUAGAAUGGACGAGAUUCGUGCCUUGUUGGUCAACCGCUCUUCUACCACUUCGUCCUACUCAAGAAGGAGUCGCUCGAGUCGACACUCCGACAACACUAUCUCCGGCUCAAGUACCCCGACAUCAAACACUCUUCGUCGUGCCAUGCAUCAAGAUCGUCAAGCAAACCGCAACCCUCUACAUGACACCGACUCUCAAGAGCAUCGACACCAUCAAGCCCAAGCUGCAUUCGUGCAAGCACAGGAACGACAACGCCAACGGCAACAAGAUUAAGAGGAGCGUGCGCGAUAACAUCAAGAUGCAGAAGACGCCGAGGCACAACGUCAAGAACAACAACUAUGCAAAGCUCAAGCACUUGAGGCGCAACGUGCCCUUCGAGACUCAAGUCGAGCCGUAGCCAACCGAGGCCGACAAGCUCGUCUACACCAAGAAGCGCUUCGUGAUGAAGUUCAAGAGAGGAUUUUCCAAGCGCGUGUGCAUCGCCAAGAUCCUCCACAAGCUCGACAAGCUCCUCCACAAGCUCCUCCUCCAGCAAGACAAGAACAUCAAGUCCAUCGAGAGCAUCAAGACAAUGGACCUUCUCCAAGACAAGAACAACAUGAGAACGACAAUCCUCCUCGCCAAGAGCAACAUGAGAUUGUCAAUCCUCACUGACAUGGGCGUCAUCAUCCCCGACCCCAACACAAUGAAGAGCAACGAUAUGGCAAGCUAAAGUUCACCAUGCCCAAGUUCACCGGAAGCAAUGACCCCGAAGAGUACAUCUCAUGGGCAUUGAAGGUUGACAAAAUCUUUCGCUUGCACAACUACGAAGAUAAGAAGAUCGCGAUGGCAUCCCUUGAGUUCCAAGACUACGUCCUCAUUUGGUGGGAACAAGUCAUUGAGCGACGAGCGGCAAGAGGUGAACCACCCAUCACCACUUGGACGCAAAUGAAGGAUGUCAUGAGAGCACAUUUCGUGCCUAACUACUACAACCGCGACCUCUUCAAGAAACUCCAACUACUCAAGCAAGGAACCAAGAGCGUUGAAGAGUACUACAAGGAAAUGGAGAUUGCCAUGAUAAGAGCGAAUGUCAUGGAAGGUGAUGAGCAAACUAUGGCACGUUUGUUGAAUGGACUCAAUCAUCCUAUCAAGAAGAUCACUGACUUCCAACCAUACUCGAACCUCAUAGAGCUAGUGCAUCAAGCUACAAAGGCGGAACGUCAAGUGCAAGAUGACUUCAAGUACGCCAAGUACUCAUCCAAGUCCUACGGCUUCUCCAACAAUCAAGCUUCAACGACUCCAACACCUUCUAACUCAACCAAGCCAUCUACGAGCAACGGCGACAAGUCAAGUUACAAGAAAACUUCAACAAGCUCAAGUCGUCCUCCUACUACAAGCAACUUCAAGUCAAAAGCUUCAUCAUCAUCUACCCCAAAUGAUGAGACCAUCAAGACGAGUUCCUUCAAAUGCUUCACAUGCGGCGGCCGAGGCCACAAGUCCUUUGAGUGCACAAACAAGCGCACCAUGAUCCUCAACAACGAUGGAACCUAUGACUCCAUGAGUGAAGGAGAAAUGGAAGCCCUUGAGAAAGUGGCCAUGCAUCGCCAAGUGAACAACGACGAUGAAGAUGAUCAAGUCUUUUGUGACGAAGAUUCGAGCCCCGCUCUUGUUGUCUCCAAGGUCUUGACUCUUCAACAUCAACAAGAAGAAGACCAAAGAUGCCAUAUCUUUCACACUAAAGCCGACAUCAACGAAAGGUCCGUCAAGGUCAUCAUCGAUGGAGGGAGUUGCCAUAACUUAGCAAGUGAAGAACUAUGCUCCAAGCUCCAAUUGGUCAAGAUGAAGCACCCACACCCUUACAAAGUUCAAUGGCUAAGCGACAACGGCACCAUCCAAGUCGACCAUAGAGUGCAAGUCUCUUUCAAGAUCGGAGCUUAUGAAGACACUUUGGAGUGUGAUGUCCUUCCGAUGACCGUUUGCCACCUCCUUCUUGGACGGCCAUGGCAAUUUGACCGAGGUGUCAUCCACAAUGGGCGUACAAAUCACUAUAGCUUUAAGAUGAAAGGGAAGGAGUUUGUGCUACGACCCAUGUCUCCAAGCCAAGUGAUCGCCGACAAGCAAGCCACCCAUCGUGGAGAGAAUCGUGAGCGAGCGAACCACCAAAAAGAGAGUGAGUGCCACAAGCCCAAAUUGAGUGCCUCCAUGAUGAGCGACACGACAAACUUAGUUCUAUCUGCCACCAAACGUGAGAUGAGAGAAGUGUGUGAGAACCCCUCAAGUGUCCUACACUAUGUCCUUUUGUGCAAAGAUGAGGCACCAAAAGCUAACACCUCUCACAAUCUUCCUCUAGUUUUAUCUUCUCUUUUGCAGGAAUUCCAAGACGUUUUCCCCGAUGAGCUACCUCCGGGUCUACCUCCCAUACGAGGCAUCGAGCACCGCAUCGACCUCAUCCCCAGAGUGCCACUUCCAAACAAAGCUCCCUACUGAGUCAACCCCAAAGAAACCAAAGAAAUACAAAGGCAAGUAAAGCAUCUCAUAGAUCAUGGACAUGUGCGUGAAAGUUUGAGUCCUUGUGCCGUACCGGUCAUUCUUGUGCCAAAGAGAGACGGUAGCUUUCGCAUGUGUCCCGAUUGUAGAUCCAUGAAUGCUAUCACCGUUCGCUAUAGGUACCCCAUUCCACGCAUUGAUGAUAUGCUUGAUGAGCUUAGAGGUGCCACUAUUUUUUCCAAAAUUGAUCUUAAAAGUGGUUACUAUCAAAUCCGCAUACAAGAGGGUGAUGAAUGGAAAACCGCUUUCAAAACAAAGUUUGGUUUGUAUGAGUGGUUAGUCAUGCCUAUGGGUUUAUCGGAAGCACCCGGCACUUUCAUGCGUCUUAUGCAUAAUGUGUUUCGCCCUUAUAAUGGUGAAUUUGUUGUUGUCUACUUUGACGAUAUCCUUGUGUUUAGCAAAUCUCUCAAAGAGCAUGUCACCCACCUUCAAACCGUGCUACAAACUCUUCGAAAAGAAUGUCUCUAUGCUAAUAUGGAAAAAUGCCUUUUCGGUGUUGAUAAGCUUGUUUUCUUGGGUUUUGUAGUAUCUUCUAAGGGUGUUCAUGUUGAUGAAUCUAAGAUCAAUGCUAUUAAAGCUUGACCCCAACCAACCAAUUUGCAACAAGUGCGUAGUUUCCUUGGUUUAGCCGAUUUCUACCGUAGAUUUGUGAAGGAUUUUAGCACCAUUGCUUCACCUUUACAUGCUUUGAGCAAGAAGAAUGCACCCUUUGUUUAGGGACCAUCUCAAGAUAGCGCAUUCAAUGAGCUUAAGAAUUUGCUUACUCAUGCUCCCGUGCUUGCAUUACCCAACUUUGACAAACCUUUUGAAAUUCAUUGCGAUGCUAGUGGUAAUGGCAUAGGAGGUGUGUUAACGCAAGAGAAGCGCCCCAUAGCAUAUUUUAGUGAGAAACUUCCCGGAGCGCAACUCAAUUACCCCAUCUAUGAUAAAGAGCUAUAUGCUUUAGUGCGAGUUUUGCGUGAAUGGGAACAUUAUCUCCGCCCUCAUGAAUUUACCAUCCAUACCAAUCAUGAAACACUUAAAUACCUUAAGGGUCAAACUAACUUGAACAAGCGUCAUGCUAAGUGGAGUGAAUUUAUUGAGUCUUUUCCUUACGUCAUCAAGUAUAUUAAAGGCAAGGAAAAUGUUGUGGCGGAUGCGCUUUCCCAUAUAUGCAUGCUUGUUACUCAACUUGAAUUGAAUGUCAUUGGCUUUGAGCACAUAAAAGACUUAUAUGCGCAUGACCCUACUUUUGCUAUCCCUUAUGCAAAGUGCUUGACGCAUCCAUCUUGGGAACGCUAUUAUAUCAAAGAUGGUUAUCUUAUGAGAGCUAACAAACUUUGCAUCCCCGAGUCUUCUCUUCGUUUGUUGCUUUUGCAAGAAUCUCAUGCAGGAGGACUAAUGGGACAUUUUGGACGCGAUAAGACCCUCGCUACGCUCUCCAAGAACUAUUUUUGGCCUAAGAUGUUCCGCGAUGUCAACCGCUUCACCAACCGAUGCUCUACAUGUCGCAAAGCUAAGUCUAACGCUCAAUCUCAUGGCCUAUAUAUGCCUCUUCCAAUCCUGUAUCAACCAUGGGAAGAUAUUAGCAUGGAUUUUGUGCUUGGUUUCCCUAGAACUAGAAAUGGCAAGGAUUCCGUUUUUGUUGUUGUGGACCGAUUCUCCAAAAUGGCUCAUUUCAUUCCUUGCAACAAGAUAGAUGAUGCUUCACAUGUUGCAAAUUUGUUUUCUAGGGAAAUCUUGCGCCUUCUUGGAGUGCCAAAGACGAUUGUCUCGGACCGCGACGUCAAGUUCUUGAGUUACUUUUGGAAGACCUUGUGCGCCAAGCUCGGAAUCAAGCUUUUGUUCUCUUUGGCAUACCAUCCACAAACCGACGGCCAAACGGAGAUGACGAACCGCACGCUCUCCACUCUACUAUGCGUGUUGAUAAAGAAGAACAUCAAGGAGUGGGAGGAGUGCCUACCUAUCGCCGAGUACGCCUACAACCGGGCAAGACAUUCGACUACCGGCAAGUCCCCCUUCGAGGUCGUCUACGGCUUCAACCCGUUGUCCCCAUUGGACAUUCUACCUCUACCACUACAAGAGCGCACAAACAUGGAUGCGAGUGCCCGAGUCAACUACCUCAAGAAGAUGCAUGAAGAUACUAGGCACACCAUCGAGCGCCAAGUACAACGACUCACGUCCAAGCUCAACGUCAACAAGCAACCCAUCAUAUUCAAUGUUGGAGAUCUUGUGUGGCUACACCUUCGCAAGGACCGCUUCCCCAACGAACGCAAGUCCAAACUUCUACCACGAGCCGAUGGACCCUUCAAGGUGCUUUCACGCUACAACAACAACGCAUACAGGAUCGACAUCCCACGCGACAAGUACUCCGUGAGCGACAUCUUCAACAUCAAAGAUCUCUCCCCGUACCAUGGUGAUGAGGAUUUCGAUCCGAGGUCAGAUCUUUCCCAAGGAAGGGGAGAUGAUGCGGAGCAUCCUACGGUCAUCCCCAUGGACCUACCAUCGUCUCAUCAAGAGCCAAGAGGACCCAUGACACGAGCACGAGCUAGAGCUCUUGAGAACGAGGUGACUUCCUUCCUUAGUGAUAUCACAUAUGAUCCACUCGAGACAUGGCUACUACCUAAGUCCGAUAUGCUAUGCAUGAUUAGGUGUCAAGAGGACCCUCCCGAGGAUGCAUGUGAAGACGGACAAGCCGCCAAGUCCAUGAAUGAAGAGAACCAACGGAAAGAGGCAAGAGCACCUCCCAGGCCCCGGACAUCCGGCCAAGACCCUGGACAUCCGGCCCCUGGAGCGUCCACCACAGCAGCAGCCCAGCCGCCCAACAUUUACAGGCCCCGGACAUCCGGCCCCAGCCCGGACAUCCGGACCGAUCCUGGAAAUCCGGCCAGAAGCCCGGACAUCCGGUGCCACGCACCAGAACCUACAGAAGCUGACUCCACCAGCCCGGACAUCCGGCCUCCAAGCCCGGACAUCCGGCCCUUUGGGAAGGCCCGGACAUCCGGCCCGUCGCCCAGACAUCCGGCUCCGUCUGUCUGCGCACAGUAAAGGGCCGAGGCCCAUGUACCCUUUCGCCCCCUAGACUAUAUAUACUCCCUUCCUCCCUCUUUCUAGGGUUAGCAAAGGAUUAGCUCAUAUGUGAGAUAGAGCUUUGCUCAUCCAUUACGGAUCUACUCCACGAGAGAGACCGCGGCCCCUCUACGGAGAAGAUCCCCUUGGAUUCAAGACCCCCUCUUGGGUGGCCCCAUCAAGACCUCCUCACGGAGAAGAACCGGUUACCCUUUGUAUCAUCCGUUGUUGACUUUGGAUCCUGUAUCUCCCCUUGUGUUUCGAGGAUCUAGCACAUGUGUAAUCGAAUCUUGUUGGCUUGAGUGUUUCUCUCGUGUUUCCCCUCGUUUUUCCCUCGUGUUCUUCGUGUUCUUUAGUUGGGAUCCGCUCCUGUCGUGAAAGAUCGGCCCUCUAGGGUUCCACCCUACAUCAAUCUUCAAACUCUUCAAACAAAGAUUCACUUUCGUAAGCACCCAUAAAAGCAACGAACUCUUCUAUUUGUUCCACAUCAUAGUAAUCAUAUAUACCAUUAGCAUAAGAAGCUAAGGUUUCAUUAUCAUUAAAUUCACAUGAAAAGGGAAGGUGUGGAGCCUUCAUCCUAGAGCAACAAGUAUAAUCAUAUCUCAAGCAUAGUUGCCGAGCAUACCAAUGCAACAAAUAAAUUUGAUCCCAUAAUAGUUUCCCUUUUUGAGUCAAGCGAUAAUCCCUAAAGUAUUCACGUUGAUCCAACGUGUCUCCCAUUACAAAGUUGAAUGGGGUUUUCUCAGGAUUAUCAAAGUAGUACAUAAUAUCUUUCACAUAAUGAGCAUCGAGGGUUUUAGGAGGUUCCCCAUCUCCAUGAGUAGCAAGUACACCUAAUUUUUUUGGUAUUUCGUGUUCCAUAUCCAUAACUAAAGAUAGAGAACAACUUAGAACAACUAAUAAAAAUUACUUAGUGAUAAAGCAAACAAGCACACACGAGAAUAUUCACCCCACGCUAUUGCUCCCCGGCAACGGCGCCAGAAAAAGGUCUUGAUAACCCACAAGUAUAGGGGAUCAAUUGUAGCCUCUUUCGAUAAGUAAGAGUGUCGAACCCAACGAGGAGCUAAAGGUAGAACAAAUAUUCCCUCAAGUUCUACCGACCACCGAUACAACUCAACGCAUGCUUAACGUUCGCUUUACCUAGAACAAGUAUGAAACUAGAAGUGUUGUUGGAUAGGUUUGCAAGAUAAUAAAGAGCGUGUAAAUAAAAAGUAGGGGCUGUUUAGAUAAAGACACAACUAAAUUAGUUUUAGUAGAGAACUUGUUGUCACACAAGAAAGUUAUUUGUCCCUAGGCAAUCGAUAACUAGACCGGUAAUCACUAUUUGCAAUUUUAUUUGAGGGAGAGGAAUAAGCUAACAUACUUUCUCUUCUUGGAUCAUAUGCACUUAUGAUUGGAACUCUAGCAAGCAUCCGCAACUACUAAAGAUCAUUAAGGUAAAACCCAACCAUAGCAUUAAAGUAUCAAGUCCUCUUUAUUCCCAUACGCCAUGACCCACUUAUCCGUGUUUGUGUUUCAGUCACUCACACAACGCAGACAAUAAGCAAACCAUGAACAUAUUGCAAACCCUAGAGCGGGGAUCCCUCACGCUUGCGCUACAUGGAGAGCACCAUAGGACAGCACCAAUAAUAAAACAUGCAACUCAAACCAAUCACGAUCAUCAAUUAACCCAUAGGACAAAACAGAUCUACUCAAACAUCAUAGGAUAGCCAUACAUCAUUGGGAAAUAAUAUAUAGCGUUGAGCACCAUGUUUAAGUAGAGAUUACAGCAGGUAAAAGAGGGGUUACACCGCUGCAUAGAGGGGGGAAGAGUUGGUGAUGACGGCGGUGAAGUUGUUGGUGUAGAUUGCGGUGACGAUGAUGGCCCCGACGGCACUCCGGUGCCACCGGAAGCGAGGGGGAGAGAGCCCCCCUUCUUCUUCUUCUUCUUCUUCUUCCUUGGCCUUCUCCCUAGGUGGGAGAAGGGUUCUCCCUCUGGUCCUUGGUCUCCAUGGCGUGGGAGAGCCCCUCUGAGAUUGGACCUGUCUUUCUGUCUCUCUCUGCUUCUGCGUUCCCAGAUCUGGCCUUUCACCGUUUCUUAUAUUCCUAGAGAUCCGAAACUCCGAUUGGGCUGAAUUUUGGACACGAUCUCUAUCCGGAUAUUAGCUUUCUUGCGGCGAAAGAAGGGCACCAACCGCCUUACAGGGUGGCCACAAGGGCCCAGGGCGCGCCUGACCCCCUGGGGCGCGCCCGCUGCCUCGUGGCCCCCUCGGGCAUCGUAUCGCGUUGAUUCUUCUUCCCAAAAAUCACAUAUAUUCCAAAAAACUCCGUCAUUUUUUAUCCCGUUUGGACUCCGUUUGAUAUGGAUUUUCUGCGAAACAAAAAACAUGCAACAAACAGGAACUGGCACUGGGCACUGGAUCAAUAUGUUAGUCCCAAAAAUAGUAUAAAAAGUUGCCAAAAUUAUGUAAAAGUUGUAGAAUAUUGGCAUGGAACAAUCAAAAAUUAUAGAUACGACGGAGACGUAUCACUCUACAACAUAAAGAGGUCUAGAAAUAUAUGGUGUUGGUGGAGAGUAUUUAUAAAUGGUGUACUACUAACAACCUCCAUAAUGCCCCUUUUAAUUAAAGAUUAUGAGAAGUGGAUUGCUAUUUCUCAGGCCUCUAUGUUGCAGGAACAUAACCUCGUAAAAGAAUCUGAGGAGAUAAUCGAGCGAUGGGAGAAAAACAAGGGAACCACUUUCCACGAAGUGUGUCUAGGAGAAAAGCCGGAGAAGGAACAUGGAGAUGAAGGAGGAAAGGGCCCUGUUGGGGAUAUAACCCCACAGUGUGACCCGCCCAGGAGGGGCCGGGUUACACUGUUGGCGACUCAGUGAUGAAGCAUAAGUAGGCCUAAGAAGCCAAGAUGUAAAGCCUGGAGGCGACUUACGAAGCGGGCUGACUGAAGGCCCAAGACCCGGAGGUGUAAGCCGACCGAUGGCAACUUGACUAGCAAGGCAAGUCGACUUAGAACCAGAGUCGGUCACGGAGCAUGAUCCGACCUGGACUCUUGUAAGCCCAGGGCCUCGACCUGUGUAUAUAAAGGUGAGACCCUGUGGCGAGUGAAAGUUAAGUUACGAUCAAUGGUUAAGUGAUUCCGCUCCCUUGUAAUCGAUACUCAACCAAUACAACACAAAGCAGGAUGUAGGCUUUUGCCUCGUUGCUGAGGGGCCGAACCUGGUAACCUCAUGUGUCUCUCAUCCCGUUCAACCCCUUUAAGCUAAUCACCGUAGCCAUGGCCUCGCACCUAAGUCCUUUCACAAGGGCAUCUGCCGUGACAAAACCACGACAGUUGGCGCCCACUGUGGUGCCAGUGCAUGGUGGUUUCGAGUUCUUGAAGGGCACUUUCCCAGGGAUCGAGGGAUACGCCGUUGGCAGGCUGACUAAGAGUCACCGCGGCAAGCUCUACAUCGACGACAUUGGCUGGGGCCCUGAGGCCGACUCAAUCGAGUACGGGCACCAGGUCCCCUUCCGCGGGAUUCAUGUCUUCAUCGACAAGAUUGGUGGAUCAGAGCCUUAGCCGGACAUCUACACCGACAUCAUCAAGCUGGCUCGGCGCAUGCAACCCGCCCGGAUUCAACCCGUUCGGAAACGUGCUUUCGUCGGUUUCGUGCAUGGCAUGGAUCUUGCGGAGGAUUCUGUAUCCGGAGGAGAGACUCUCGUUUACUCAGGUGAUGAGUCCUUGACCGGAGAGACGGAGUCAAUUUAUCAUCUUCCAGACGGUAGGCUCGGGGGCUAUUCCGAUGGUGAUAGUAUUCCGGACCUCUAUGAGCCGCCGUGUCGGGCUGCUAUCUUCAUGGCUGACACAGGCCCGGCUCUAAAUUCAUCAACAGCUGCAGCUAUGACAUCUGGAUCGAUUGCUGCUAUGACAGCUAGGGCUGGCGGCUCAGCUAGGCCGCCAGCUCAUGUCUUAUCAAAUCUCUUGGGCACUCUGACAACUUUGCUGGCGACAGAGGUGACUGCAGCGAAUCAAGUAGAGUGCAAUGUAGAAAUUGUAAAGAUUUAGGCGGAGAUCACCAAGGCCCAGGAGGAUAUCAAUGCAGAGAAUACCAGGAUGGCAGAGGAACAUGCUCAAAUCGCGGCUGAAUCGGAGCGUGUGAGGACACAAGCUUGGCGUUUGAUGGUAGCUAGAACUACGUCGGUAUUUCCCUGGAGAGGUAGGGAUGAUGUAGCACAGUGACGGUAGAGUAUUUCCCUCAGUUAUGAAACCAAGGUAUCAAACCAGUAGGAGAACCAAGCAACACAACGUAAAUAGCACCUGCACACAAAUAACAACACCUCGCAACCCAACGUGUUAAAGGGUUGUCAAUCCCUUUCGGGUAACGGCGCCAGAAAUUGGCAAGCGGACGUGAGGUAAGUUGUAAUAGAUUGAAAUAAUAGAUCGCAAAUGAAUAAAGUGCAGCAAGGUAUUUUUGUAUUUUUUGGUUUAAUAGAUCUGAAUAAAAAUGCAAAGGAAAAGUAGAUCACAAGGCAAAUAUAUGAGAAAUAAGACCGGGGCCCGUAGGUUUCACUGGUGGCUUCUCUCGAGAAAAAUAGCAAACGGUGGGUAAACAAAUUACUGUUGGGUAAUUGAUAGAACUUCAAAUAAUUAUGAUGAUAUCUAGGCAAUGAUCAUUACAUAGGCAUCACGUCCAAGAUUAGUAGACCGACUCCUGCCUGCAUAUACUACUAUUACUCCACACAUCGACCACUAUCCAACAUGCAUCUAGUGUAUUAAGUUCAUGGAAAAACGAAGUAAUGCAAUAAGAACGAUGACAUGAUGUAGACAAGAUCCGUUUAUCUAUAUGGCGGUAUAUAUAGAUCUCGUCUUUUUAUCCUUAGUAGCAACGAUACGUAUGUGUCGUUUCCCCUUCUAUCACUGGGAUCGAGCACCGUAAGAUCAAACCCACUAUCGGGCACCUCUUCCCAUUGCAAGAUAAAUAUAUCAAGUUGGCCAAACAAAACCCAAAUAUCGGAGAAGAAAUACGAGGCUAUAAGAUAUCAUGCAUAUAAGAGAUCAAAGAAACUCAAAUAACUUUCAUGGAUAUAAAAAGAUAUGACUGAUCAUAAACUCAAAGUUCAUCAGAUCCCAAUAAACACACCACAAAAGAGUUACAUCAUAUGGAUCUCCAAGAGACCAUUGUAUUGAGAAUCCAGUGAGAGAGAGAGAAAGCCAUCUAGCUACUAACUAUGGACCCGAAGGUCUACAAAGAACUACUCACGCAUCAUCGGAGAGGCACCAAUGGAAGUGGUGAACCCCUCCGUGAUGGUGUCUAGAUUGGAUUUGGUGGUUCUGGACUCUGCGGCGGCUGGAUGAAUAUUUCGACACUUGUUUUAGGGUUUCUGGAAUAUUGUGGUAUUUAUAGAGCAAAGAGGCGGUCCGGGGGCACCUGAGGUGGGCACAACCCACCAGGGCGCGCCUGGGACUCCCAGCUGCAACCAGGGCCCAUUGCCUUUCUUCUGGCCCAUAAAAAAUCAUCAUGAAGUUUCAUGGCAUUUGGACACCGUUUGAUAUUGAUUUCCUGCGAUGUGAAAAACAUGGAAAAAACAACAACUGGCACUUGGCACUAUGUCAAUAGGUUAGUAUAAAAAAAUGAUAUAAAAUGACUAUAAAAUGAUUAUAAAACAUCCAAGAUUGAUAAUAAAACAACAUGGAACAAUAAAAAAUUAUAGAUACGUUGGAGACGUAUCAGCAUCCCCAAGCUUAACUCCUACUCGUCCUCGAGUAGGUAAGUGAUAAAAACAUAAUUUUUGAUGUGGAGUGCUGUUCAUCAAGUCAUAUCAUAUUCUUUUCUUUAUAGCAUGGACAUUUGGACUUUUAUGUGAUUCAAAUCAAUAGUCUAGUUUUGACAUAAUAAUUUAGAUACUCAAGCAUAU